GGGAGGCCAAGGUACCGUAUACAAAGGAAUGUUAGCGAAUGGGAAGAUCGUUGCUGUGAAGAAGUCGAAAAGUGUAGUUAGUGGGGACGAAGUGAGACAAUUCAUCAAUGAAAUUGUCAUUCUCACAAGUUAUUCAAAAGAAUGUGGUUAAAUUAAUGGGUUGCUGUUUGGAGACUGAAGUACCCCUUUUGGUUUACGAGUUUAUACACAAUGGAACACUCUCUCAUUAUAUUCAGCACCAGAAUGAGGAGUUUCCUCUUACAUGGGAAAGGCGGUUACGAGUUGCAACCGAAGUUGCAGGUGCACUAUCAUACUUACACUCGGCAGUUUCCCGUCCUAUUUACCACCGAGACAUCAAGUCUUCGAACAUACUGUUGGAUGAUAAAUACAGAGCCAAAGUGGCAGACUUUGGGACAUCAAGAUCUGUCGCCAUUGACAAAACACACCUUACCAUGACACAGGUAAAUGGAACAUUCGGUUAUUUGGACCCGGAGUACUUUCAGACUAGCCAAUUUACGGACAAGAGUGACGUUUAUAGCUAUGGAGUGGUCCUUGUUGAGCUAUUGACAGGAAAAAAACCAAUUUUUAAGACAGAGUCACAAGAACCCAUGAGCCUAUCACAUUAUUUUCUUCUUUCCAUGGACGAGAAUCGUUUGUUCGAUAUUCUUGAUGCCCGAGUUGUGAAAGAUGCCAGGAAGGAAGAGAUCAUGGUAGUUGCUGAUCUUGCAAAACGUUGCUUGAAUUUGAAUGGAAAAAAGCGUCCUACCAUGAAAGAAGUAGAAGUGGAGCUGCAGGGAAUUCAAUUGCCAGUGAAAGAUUUUGAUGUCCAACAAAAUUUUGACGUUGAUCAUGUCCAGACUCGAAUGAACGAGGUUUGGGAUGUUGAUUCGGCAUCGACCCAUGAACCUAGCACAUUAUUUUCUUCACCAUUUGAUGAGGAGCAGCUUUUGUUUAUCAGGACAGAGUGAAAAAUAAAUGUUGUUUUUAUUGCGAUCUGUGUAUUAGAUGUAGGGCUAGUAUGAGAUUGUUGUACUAUUUACAAAUCUUCCUAGCAUUACCCUUAAAAAAAAAAAAGCUUCUGUUAUGCCUUGAGAAUAGUUAUGUGUAAAAUAAAACAGUUGAGGAUUUGAUAAACUUUAUUUUGAAAAGUGUUUAGGGCUGCUUUUGUUCAAAAAAAAAAAAAAGUAGUGAGUUACUUAUUUUUAGGGUAUGAAUCUCAUAUUGGAGAAAAAAUGAUUUUAUUUAUGUUUUUAAGUAAUUAAGCUACUCUCCAUAUCGCCAAUUAAUUUUAGGAAACUUUAACGAAAAGCACCCGGUACUGUUCACUUUAACGAAAAACCACAUUUUUACACUAAAAAGUCAAUCCUAGUACUAUUCACUUUACCCUUUAUUUUGUCCUUAUUAUUAAAACUCAAAGUUUUCAAACCAUUUUCAUUAGUUUUCCUUUAAUUUUAUAAUAGAAUCUUAACUUUCUCAUGUAUAAAAACGUGAAUGAUAGAUUUUCAUUGGAUUUGGAUCCUAUCAUGAGCUAAGGGGGCUGGCUAAGCCUCCUGAGCAAAGAACAUGGACCAACGGCUACAAACAGGGGCCCUUCCAAAAGUUAUAAUAAUUGUAGUCGUUGAAUCAAAAUCCAACGGCCUGUGUUUUUUACUCAGGAGGCUCAGCCCCUUGAGCUCAAGAGAGGAUCCAAAUCCAUUUUCACUUACCGUUCCAAGAGAGUUUCAAGAUUACAGUGUAUUGUAUCCUUCAUGGAGACAAUCCUUCCUUAAAACUUACUAAUAGAAAAUAAUGUAUAGAUUAUUUACCCGUAUGUAUCUCUUUCCAUUCACCCCUUAUUUUUGUAAUGUUCUAAGAAAGUGGAAAGUAAUGAAAAAGCUUAGGACAUAAUGUCUUAUCCAAUAUUAUUAAUCAAGUAGUGGCUUAUGAGACACUGCCUACAAGCAGUGGCGGAUCCACAGUGGGGUCAAUGGGGUCGCACGACCCCUUGGAAGCCAUGGAAACAACCUUAGAGACCCCUUGGAGCUGCUGGUGCGACCCCUUGGCUGCACACCAAGUGUUCGACGAAAGGUCUGAAAGAACUCCAUGGUGAAAUUGUACGGAUUUGUAUCCACCAUGAAGGAGGGAAGGUCUCGGCUUGUGAAAGAUAAUGGCAAACCUGGUAAUUCUAUUGGACAUGGAAGGACAUUGUUUGUACCAGAACUAGUAUUAUCCCGGAUGAGAUCUUUGUACCCGUUAAAGUAAUAGUAGUAGAUGUCGAAAACCGUGGCUGGCUGAAUCCAAAGCAGCACGCGUGGGAGGUGAAGUUCAUGUGCCAUCCCUGCCGACCAAGGGAGAAGUAAUGAGUAGACUAGGCAAGUGUAAGGGUGACCCUCGUUUGCACUUGCGACUACAAGGUCGGUGAUGGCUUGUGCUUCGUGGUGCCGCAACUCCGACAUGUAGUGGUCGAUGUUGUCACCGGGCUUAAACCCGUCAUCGUACCCAUCAGAGAAGGGCGCAUAAGUCAAUCCAUCUGGAAUUGAGCCAUUGCCUAUGUGAUGAUGAGCUGAGAGACUGGUAACGAAGGUGACAUGCGCACCUGUAGUGUUGAUUAUUAACUCUGAGAAAUAUAGCUAUGAGAAAAUGAAUAAGAAGAACAGAAGCUUAAGAGACGGAGAGUUUCUGAAUUCUUUGUAUUAUUCUAUAUGAAACUAUUACAAGUGUUUACAUUGUGUUAUAUAGCCUCUCAGCAUACAUGGACUAUUACAAAACUACCCCUUUGUAACUAACUCUCUAACAAUCCAAAUGGCAGUUAUAACCAAUCAACAGAAUAACAGAUAACAAUGGCUAAUACUCCCCCCUCAAACUAUGCUAGGUUUCAUCUAGCACAGUUUGGAAAGACAAAACACAACUCUGUGCCAUUGUACAAGGGAAUUAACUCGGGACUGAAGUACUGGAAAUUGCAGAUUGGGAUCCUAGGCUCAAGUUGUGACAAUGCUUCACAAAAACAGGACUAUGUAAUCCUUUAGUUAGGACAUCAGCAACUUGCUCUUCUGUAGAAAUGUAUUGAACACGCAGAUCACCUUUUUGUACUUUCUCCCUCACAAAGUGAUAAUCAGUAUCGAGAUGUUUGAUCUUAGAAUGAAAAACAGGAUUCGAACAUAGAGCAAGUGCGGAUAAGUUGUCACAAUAAAGAGAAGGAGGUGAGGGAAGACACUGAUGUAGAUCUCUAAGCACUGAUCUAAUCCAACAAACAUCAGCUGCACAGUAAGCUAUUGCCUUAUAUUCUGCUUCGGUUGAGCUUCUCGAGACAGUGGAUUGCUUUUUGGACUGCCAUGAGAUAGGAUUAGAGCCUAAGUAUACCACAUAUCCGGUAAUUGAUCUCCUAGUAUUAAUAUCUGCUGCCCAGUCUGAAUAUGAAUAGGCAGCUAUAGAAAUAUCUUCACUUUUAGUAUAGUUCAAACCACAAGUGAGAGUACCUUGUAAAUACCUCAGAAUUCUCUUGACCAAAUGAAAGUGUGAAUCUGUUGGACUUUGCAUAAACUGACACACCAUAUUCACUGCAUAAGCUAUAUCAGGUCUAGAGAAGGUUAAGUACUGUAAAGCUCCCACCAAGCUUCGAUAGAGAGUAGGAUCUGUCAUUGGUAUGCCUUCAGAUUCAAGCAACUGAGUAUGAGGUUUAGAGGGUGUAGAUGUAGGUUUACAAUGUUCCAUACCAGCCCUUUUUACAAAUCUCGUGCAUAUUUAGACUGGUUAAUGAAUAUAGAUCCAUCCUGAUUGUACUGGAUAUGAAGACCAAGAAAAUAGGUAAGUUUUCCCAUAUCUUUAAGAUCAAAUACUGCAGCAAGGCUUGUAAUCAUUGAUUGAAUCUUUGAAGCAUUAGAACCAGUCAUAAUUAUGUCAUCAACAUAUAAUAGGAGUAGAAUAACAUCCCUAUGAUCUUCUUUGACAAACAAACUUGUAUCGGAUAAGGAUGUAACAAACCCCAAAGUAGGAAGGUAGCUAGUAAACUUUGAAUUCCAAGUGCGUGAAGCUUGUUUCAAGCCAUAAAGCGACUUUAGUAAUUUGCAAACAUGGUUUGGAUGUUGUGAGUCAACAAACCCCUGAGGCUGCUUCAUAUAGACUUCCUCUUCUAACUCCAUGUAAGAAGGCGUUUUUAACAUCUAGUUGCCUCAAACACCAACCAAAUUGAACUGCUAAGGCUAAAAUCAUUCUGACAGUGGUAUGUCUUACCACCGGACUAAACGUUUCAGAAUAGUCCAAACCUUGCUCUUGGCUAUACCAUUGUGUAACUAGCCGAGCCUUAUACCUAGAAAUUGAUCCAUCAGGGUUCUUCUUAAUUUUGUAUACCCAUUUGCUUCCCACUAUACUUCUGUCAACUGGAGGAGGAACUAAACACCAAGUUCCUUGUGCCUUUAAAGCAUCAAACUCAUCCUGCAUAGCUCUUUGCCAUUCAGCCUUGACACUAGCAGUUUUAAAAUUUUUAGGCUCCUCUAUAUCAGCUAUAUCAGCUAAGAAUGAAAACCCGCUGGAAAAAUCAUCCAUAACCCCCAAAGAAGCAAUCUCAGGAACAUUUGCUAAAUAUGCUGCAUAAUUCUUUCUGGAAAGUGCACCGGUUUGUAGCCUUGUCUGAAUUGUAGAACUUUGACGCACAGGAGUAGUUGUGGUUGUAUGUCCUAUACCUGAUUGAGAAGAAUUUGAAGAGAGUGGAAGUAUCACCUGAAGUUGGUUGGGACUAAAGACAGGAAGCAAAGAAGAUGUAUCACUUGUUAUGGAAAGAGUAUGGCCCGAUGUACUGUGACUGUGCGAAUGUCCUGAGGUUGAACUUAAUGUCUCAGAUUGAUCAACUAAAGACGAAGCAAUUCCAUCAUUCCCACUGUAUAUCUGAGUAACUUCAGGAGGACUAGGAGUAUGAGUAACAGGAACAUGAACCAAAAUUGGAGAAUAUGUAGCCGGUGGAUUAUCAACCUGUGCAUGAACUUGUUUCUGUAACCUGUGUUUACCAGGGAACAUCAUCUCAUCGUGUAAGACAUGUCGAGAAAUAAUGCAUUUCUUGGACACUAGAUCAUAACAUAUGACACCUUUGUAUCCUGAAGAGUACCCGAGAAAAACACAUAAUGUUGAUCUUGGUUGAAGCUUAUUAGAAUUAUAAGGCCUAAGCCAAGGAAACACAGCAGUUCCAAAUGUCUUCAAAGAUGUUAAGUCAGGAAGUGUCUUGUAGAGCAGAGUAUAAGGAGAUACCAUAGACAGAGAUUUACAUGGCAUUCGGUUGAUAAGAAAUACUGAGUGAGCACAAGCAAAAUACCAAAACUCCAAUGGUAAACCAGCAUUAGUGAGUAAUGUAAUUGAAGUUUCAAUUAUAUGCCGGUGUUUUCUCUCAGCAAUUCCAUUUUGCUGAGGAGUAUAUGGACAUGACAGCAUCUGAACAAUCCCUCUAUUAUUCAAAAACUUUGUAAAAGCACUACUAAUGUACUCUCCACCCCCAUCAGUUUGUACACACUUGAUUGUUGUUCCAUACUGAUUUAAUACAAACUGAUAAAACUUUACAAAAAUAGAAAAGACAUCAGAUUUAUUACUCAUUGGAAAUACCCAAGUGUAUCUUGUACAUUCAUCAGUAAACAGUACAUAAUACCUAUAGCCAUGAACAGACUUUAUAGGAGACGGUCCCCAAACAUCAGAGUGAAUCUUAUCAAACGGAGACAGACACUUUUCAUUUCUCUCAGGAAAUGGCAAUCUAGACAUUUUGCCCUGUAUACAUGAUGCACAAACACUCUUCAUAUCAUCUGGUUUAUAUGCUAUACUACACUGUCUUAACAUACAAGAAAGUACUUCAUUUGUAGGGUGACCCAAUCUUUGAUGCCACAUAUUUGACUUCACCAAUUGUCCAAGCAAAGCUGUUGUAGUGGGAAAUGUAGACUGCACCCCUUUAGCAUUGUGAAACACUGGAAUCUGAAACAACUCCUUGGGCCUACUCUUUCCGUGAUACAGGACCUCCUUUGUCUUCUUGUCCUGUAAAAAGAAGUUGGACUCAUCACAAAUAAACCAACUGUUGUUAUCAGCACAUAUUUGUUUAACAGAUAACAAACUUCGAGCAAUCUUUGGAACAUGUAAAACAUGAGUGAGUAAUAAGGAAUGAUCCUUCGUAUGAAGAGUAGUAGAACCAGUAUUUUUUAUUGAUAUACUAGAACCAUUACCAAUAGUAAUUGUCUCAUUGCCUUCAUAUGGAGCAACCUGUGCCAAGCCAUGAACAUCAGCAGUCAUGUGAUGAGAAGCACCAUAAUCCACGAUCCAUGAAUCUGUAGGCAUAAACUGAGAUGAUUGUUGUGCAUUCAUAGCAGUUAUGGAAGAUGGAGGAGAUUGACUUUGAUACGAGUAGUUGCUUCUGUGAUGACAGUUAAGAGCAACAUGACCCUUCUUCCCACAAAUUUGGCACUCAAUCAAAAAACCAGGAGUUGAAUUGGUGUUGUUCCUGUGAAAACAAUUUACUGCUGUAUGACCUCGUUUGUUGCAGAUUUGACAUUCAAUUACUACAUUAAUCCUUGUGUCUGUAUUGCCCGACCAACCACUGUUAUUGGAGUUCUGCCUAUAUCCUCCAGAAUUGAAACUCUUCCCCUUGUAACCAUUAUUGGACCUAUAAUUGUGUUGACCCUUGGAAUUCGAGCCAUUGAAAGGUCUAAACCCAGAAUUUGUUCUUGUAUCUGAAUGAGAACCAGAAUUUCCAAAGAAACCAAAACCAUAUGGUACAUGAGGAUAAAAUCCGUCAGGAGGUUGUUGUGUAGAAUAGAACUGAGAGGACUGCAUCUUAGGUUGAAACUGUGAUGACAAUGGAUACUGCAAUGUCCCAUUAAAAGGAACCCGUGACAAAACACCACCAGUAGAACCAGAAAUGUGACUAUGAUUCUGUGGAUUAGAAGAAGAACCAUUGACCAUUGAAGAUCCAGGAUUUGUACCAGUCCCUUUCAUACAAGGCUGACAAACUUUGAGACAACACAUUGAUUUCACCAUCAAUUUCCUUUUCAGCACCAAGAAGUUGUGCUCUGAACUCUUUGAGAGUAAUUGAUGACUCUCUAGCAAGAAUAACCGUUCUGAUUAUUGCAUAUUCUUUUGGUAACCCAGCCAAUCCUGCAAUUAUAACAUCAUUGUCCGAGACAUACUCCCCUGCAGCACUUAACUGCUCUCUAAUAUUUUUCAAUCUCAGCAAAUACUUAUCAAUUGAGUCAGUUCCCUUUUGUAUAGUAUGCAGUUCAGUCUUUAGAUGAUUCACUCGUGAUUUUGAUACAGAGGCAAACCUAUCGACAAGAUUCACCCAAGCCUCAUGAGCAUUCUUGCAGCUAAGAACAUACUCCAUCGCUUCAUCAGACAAUGUGGCAAGCAAAAGACUUAACAAAGCCAUAUCAGUUGACUCCCAAUCAAUAUACGCUUUAGUAACUUCUUCAGUAACUCCAAGAUCAGUAGUCAAAACAAACUUCGGGGGACACACAUCAGUGCCAUCAAAAUGACCAAACAAUUUAUACCCCUUCAACACAGCUUUAAACUGAAAUGCCCAUUUGACAAAAUUAUCAUCCUUCAAUCUGAUAGUAAGCAUCCCCAACAAAUUUUCUACUUUAACAGUCGGAUUAGUCAUCUUAACACAGAUCACAAAGACACACAAUUCCAAUUAUGUAAUGAACAGGAAGAAAUUAACACUCCUUGCAAUUGAAACAGACUACAAGACUUCAAAGAGACUGAAACUCUUGACCAAGAAAGAUCGAUACUUCCCAAAAUGCACAAGAAAAAUACCACUGUUCGAAGAGACUGAAACUCUUUCCCAAAAUUCACAAGAAAAAUACCACUGUUCGAAGAGACUGAAACUCUUUACCAAGAAAGAUUAAAACUUUCCAAAACGAACAAGAAAGAAUGAAACUUUCUCAAAUAUGCUGACUGCACAAGUAUUUCUGCAUCAUAACCUUAUGAACAUUUGACUAUACAAUCAAUCAGCAAAAUUUUUCAAACUUUACACCGAACACUGUCUUCAAGAAUCUCAAAAAACAAAAAACCAAUACCCAUGAUCAAAAUUAGCUCCAAUCAUCGAAAGAAAAAUAUCACCUGAAUCAAGCUCAACAAUCGAGGAACACACCCAACUUCAAUAGCCUUCCGUAACCUUCAGAAUCGUACUCGAGCCCUUUGAACUUGUACACAACAGCUUCAAUCUUCCAGAGCAGCGGAAAAAACACCAAGAAUCGGCACGGCGACGAACCAAACCGGCGAUGAUACCAUAUUAACUCUACGAAAUAUAGCUAUGAGAAAAUGAAUAAGAAGAACAGAAGCUUAAGAGACGGAGAGUUUCUGAAUUCUUUGUAUUAUUCUAUAUGAAACUAUUACAAGUGUUUACAUUGUGUUAUAUAGCCUCUCAGCAUACAUGGACUAUUACAAAACUACCCCUUUGUAACUAACUCUCUAACAAUCCAAAUGGCAGUUAUAACCAAUCAACAGAAUAACAGAAUUGAUAAGGUGCUUGGCGUAUUGGAGGGAAGGGUUGAUGUGGCCUUGAGCCGGAUAUGUGACAAGUAGAAAGCGGUGUUGCACCAUGGCAGCACAUGUGAUUGCGGAGGUGCGCGGUGGAGCGUGGAGUUGUUGGAAGUAGAAUAAGUAGACUCGAUGAAAUGACGAUAUGCAUGUCGUUUUUGUUAAAAAAAAUUUGCGCGCUGCGCGCGCUAUCCUUAUUGACCCCUCAAACAUUAUUUCCUGGAUCCGCCACUGCCUACAAGUAACUAUUUCAACAAGAAUCCAUGGCGGUCAUGUGCACAAAGCAUACACUGAAGCAAUUAACAAUAUUAAAUGCUAAAGUGUUAAAAAGGAUUAAAUAUACUGAAGCAUUUUUAGGUGAUUCCUCUCUGUGUGCCCAACUGUCCUACAAAUUAAUCAGCACAACAGUUUACCUACAUAAUAUAGAAUUAUUGCAGCCGCCUCUUAAAUAAUCAACUGGAAGAAGAGGUUUGCAUCCAUCCCUGGUGACCUCCUUCUAGAGAGAUUCUUUUUCAUGUACAUAAAAUAUAAACUAGUACACCCCGUGUCAUAAUAUAAAUAGAGAUAAGAUUAUAUUAUUCAAUGCCUUUCAUUUGUAAUAUGACACGUAAUUGAUGUACGCAUCGGCUUAUGUUCCAAGUAUAUUGAAAAAUCUCUCUUCCCUUUGACCAACAAAACAAACCUCCCUCUUGUCACGCCAAAUAAAAUAAACGACCCGACCCAAACAUUGUGCUUCCUUUGAAAGUUCAAGCCCUUCAGGGGUUUAGGUUUUGUUUAGGGUUCAGGAUUCAUGGAUUUUAAAUUUAUAUUCCCUCUAAUCAGGGGUAACUUGUUUCUCUCAUUCAUCAAUAAAAUCUCUGGUACCAAGGGUAUUGGAGAUUUGAAGGCUAAUAAAUGAAAAGUCUGAGUCGAGAAAAUCAGAUUCGACCUAUGUAACCAUUUGUUAUGAGAUAUUUUUGGGGGUGACAGGAACUCUUGCUAACUUGAAGUUUCACCAAUUAGGUCUUGACAUCUGUGCAUUUAAGGUUGAAUUUACACCAACAGUCUGGCCCACCUUUAAAGCAAUUAAAAAACUUAAUAUUUAAUUAAAUUAGUACCGGUGCCUCUCUCUCUUCCAUCUUCCUCUGCCGUCUGGGUAUGGCAGACAGGAAACCAAGCAUUUUCCGACUAAGGGGUCACCAGCACUUGCACCAAAAUUUCUAUCGUCCACCCAACAACCAUAUCAUGCCCACCACCAUGAACACCCACGAAAGCUCCAGCCUCUAUCACACCGCUAAAAUCUCAAUUUGGCACCAUCAUCUUCUUCUAUCAUGUUGCUUCAUCAUCAUGAUUUGAAGACGUCGGUUCUUGAUCACCAGGAGAAAGGUGGGAUGAUUAGGGGAUGAUGACACGGUGGGCCAAAACACCGGGCGACGGUGGUGGAUGUCGGGGGCUGAGAGGAAUUGGAGGGUAAUGAUUAGAAGGUUGGGGAAGGGCCUGGAGAAUGAGGUUUAUUUAUUUUUAAAUAAAAAAAAAUUCAUUUAUUGAUUAUUCUAUAAAAGAUAAAAUUAUUUGGCUUUAGUGGGACAUAUGGCGUUAUUGGAUUGGAAGGGGACACCACCUACAUUGCUGAGGUGUGCACUCCCAUCACUCCCAAAAAUUUCUACAUUGUUAUAAUACAAGAGAUUUUUGCUGCUUUGUCUACAAGUUGGGAGGGAGAGAGCUAGCUGGAGACAAGAGUGCGAGCUGUGAAUGGUGCAAAAUUAGGGCUGACUCGUUUCGCGGGGACAAGGAACGAAGACAAUAGGGAAAGAAAGGAGGGUAGAGUUGUCGUUUAGAAAGUUUCAUUAAUGCGCACUAUUCACUCCGCCUCCUCCCAAAAAACAGCGCUCUUUUUAAAAGUGUGAUCUCACCUGCUUCCUAAGGUUUUUGAUCCAUGAUUUUUAAAACACAAUUAAUUCUCUUAAGGAAAUUUUCAUGAAAAUGAUUUGGGCUAAGUUUAUUUUAACAAAAAAUCAUGUUAUAACUUUAUUUAAUGAAAAGACUUAAAUUUUAAUGAAAAAAUCUUAAAUUUGAAUAAAAAUAACAAAAAAAAAAACUUAUAAAGGGUAAAAGACUGUUUAAUACCCUCAUGUUUUGUGGUUUUCAACAUUUAGUAUAUCAAGUUUUUUUCGUCUCAGAAUCAUAUAUAAAGUGUAAAUUUUGGGACAGUCUUAUAUGUCCGUUAGUCAAACUGUUAAUUCUCCCGUUAACUGUGAUGUGGCGCCCAUGUGGACAAUGACUGAGCGGCACAUGUCAUCCAUGUGGAAAUUAAAAAUAAAUUAUUUAUAAAAUAAAAAAAUUAUAUAUAUAUUAAAAAAAACAUUCAUCUUCCCUAGAUUCGGAGGAAGAGGAAGAAGAAGAAGAAGAAGAAGAAGAAGGAGAAGGAAGAAGAAGGAAGAAGGAGAAGAAGGGGAAGGAAGAAGAAGAAAAAAAAAAGUUGUAGUCGGAAGAAGAAGAAGAAGAGAUUCGGAGGAAGAAGAAGAAGAAGAAGGAAGAAGAAGGAAGAAGGAGAAGAAGGGGAAGGAAGAAGGAGAAGGAGGAAGAAGAAAAAAAAAGUUGUAGUCGGAGAGGAAGGAAGAAGGAGGAAGGAGAAUGAAGAAGGAGGAAGAAGAAAAGAAAAAAAAACCCUUCAUUUUCCCCAGAAUCGGAGGAGGAAGAAGAAGAAGAAGGCAGAAGGAGAAGAAGGGGAAGGAAUGAGGAAGGAAGAAGGAGAAGAAGGAGAAGAAGGAGGAAGAAAAAAAAAAGUUGCAGUUGGAGGAAGAAGAAGAAGGAGGAAGGAGGAAGAAGAAGAAAGAAGAAGAAAAAAAAACCGAAUCUGCAAUCCAGAUUUGGAGGAAGAAGAAGAAGAAGAAGAAAGAAGAAGUAGGAAGGAGAAGGAGGAAGAAGGAAAAAAAAACCUUCAUCUUCCCCAGAUUCGGAGGAAGAAGAAGAAGAAGAAGAAGGAGAAGGAAGAAGAAGGAAGAAGGAGAAGAAAGAGGAAGAAAAAAAAAGUUGCAGUCGGAGGAAGAAGGAGGAAGAAGAAGAAAGAAGAAAAAAAAAACCGAAUUUGCAACCCAGAUUCGAAGGAAGAAGAAGAAGAAGCAGAGGAAGGAAGAAGGAGGAAGAAGGAGGAAGAAGAAAAAAAAAAACCUUCAUCUUCCCUAGAUUCGGAGGAAGAAGAAGAAGAAGAAUAAGAAGAAGAAGAAGAAGGAAGAAAAAGGAAGAAAGGAAGGAAGAAGGAGAAGGAGGAAGAAAAAAAAAAGUUGUAGUCGAAGGAAGAAGAAGGAAGAAGAAGGAGGAAGAAGGAGGAAGAAGAAGAAAAAAAAAAAAAAAGGUCGUACCCGAUGCACAAGGCUCCCGCUUUACGUAGGGUCUGAGAGAGGUGAAUGUCGGCUAGCUUUACCCCCAUUUAUGGAGAGGCUGCUCCCAAGUCUCGAACCCGAGACCUACCGCUCAUGGGCGAAGAAAGAAGAAGGAAAAAAAAAUGUGGAUGACACGUGGCGCCCAUCCAUUGUCCACAUGAGCGCCACGUCACAAUUAACGGUAGAUAUAACAGUUUGAUUAACGGAUGUAUAAGACUGUCCCAAAAUUUACACUUUAGGUAUAUGAAAAAAACUUGAUGUACUAAAUGUUGAAAACAACGAAACAUGAUGAUAGUAAAUAGUCUUUUACCCUAAAUUUUAAUUGAAAAAAACAUAAUUUUAUUGAUAUGAAUUGAUGAAUAGAAUCGUUGAUUAUUGAUGAUCUGAAUUAUUGAUUAUUGAUUAAUUGAAUUAUUGAUUAUUGAAUAAUUUAUACGAUAAGUAAUAUUGAUUAAUUGAAUUUUUUUUAUUGGAUAACUUAUAUGAUUAUUGGUAUUGAUUAAUUAAAUUGUUGGUUUACUUAGUUAUUAGUCAUAUAUUAUACUCUACUCUAGGGUUACGAGUCUAAGACUUUUUCUUCUCAUUAUACAGUUAUUUAAUAAAACGAUAAUAUAAGAAACAAUGCUUAAAUUCUUCUUCAAAUAUUCUAAGUAGUCAUCCUUCGAAUAUUUUGGGUAGUCAUCCUUCAAAUAUUAACCACCUAAUUAUCGCGAAUCAAUUCAUAGACACUAUCUCUAAAAUGAUCAUUGUCAACCUAAAAUCCACAUCAUGCCAAAAAAAAUUAGUGACAAUCGAUGUUUUAUGUUUCUCUGUCAUUGAAAUGCAGAUAUUGAUGAAUGCAAAGAUCCAAAUAGAUGCGGUUUCGGCAACAUUUGUAACAAUAUACGGUUGUGUCGUUUGAAUGCCCUUCACCUGCACGACCAUCACGGGUUAAUGUGGCCGUCAUAGGUACAGUGUUGCUCUCUUCAAAUCCAAAAACAAAGAUAACCUGUUUUUAUGGCAGCUGGUAUUAGCAUUUCCAGUGUUGUUCCUCCAUUACACAACUUUUUUUGUUUCAACCCAUCCCUGCAUUACUUAGAUUAUAUAUAAGAAGGAACAAUAAUAUCUGUCCAAUUUAAUUUUUUCUUCCAAUUGAGCUAUCAGUUACCAACUGCAUUGUUGGCCUACUGUUUAUACACAUUGGAGCAUGGUGGUCGCACAAAGUCAAAGUGAAAAGGAAAGACACCAACCGCAAGCAGAAGUUUUCUAAACGAAUGUUGGGGCAGCAAUUAUCUUCCGGUUAAGCUAACGUUGAUAAAAAUAAAUUGUUCAGUGCAGAGCAGAUAGAAAACGCCACGGAGCAUUUCAGUGUAGAGAGAAUUCUUGGUCAGGGAGGCCAAGGUACCGUAUACAAAGGAAUGUUAGCAAAUGGGAAAAUCGUUGCUGUCAAGAAGUCGAAAAGUGUAGUUAGUGGAGACGAAGUGAGACAAAUGAAAUUGUCAUUCUGUCACAAGUUAUUCAAAAGAACGUGGUUAAAUUAAUGGGUUGCUGUUUGGAGACUGAAGUACCCCUUUUGGUUUACGAGUUUAUACACAAUGGAACACUCCCAUUAUAUUCAGUACCAAAAUGAGGAGUUUCCUCUUACAUGGGAAAUGUGGUUACGAGUUGCAACCGAAGUUGCAGGAGCACCAUCAUACUUACACUCGGCAGUUUCCUGUCCUAUAUACCUCUUCGAACAUACUGUUGGAUGAUAAAUACAGAGCCAAUGUGGCAGACUUUGGGACAUCACGAUCUGUCGCCAUUGACAAAACACACCUUACGUACCAUGACACAGGUAAAUGGAACAUUCGGUUAUUUGGACCCGCCUAUCACAUUAUUCUCUUCUUUCCAUGGACGAGAAUCGUUUGUUCGAUAUUCUUGAUGCCCGAGUUCUGAAAGAUGCCAGGAAGGAAGAGAUCAUCGUAGUUGCUAAUCUUGCAAGACGUUGCUUGAAUUUGAAUGGAAAAAAGCGUCCUACUAUGAAAGAGGUAGAAGUGGAGCUGCAGGGAAUUCAAUUGUCAGUGAAAGAUUUUGAUGUCCAAACUCGAGUAAACCAGGUUUGGGAUGUUGGUUCGGCAUCAACACAUGAGCCUAGCACAUUAUUUUCUUCUCCAUUUGACGUAGAUCCGGUUUUGUUUAUCACGACAGAGUGAAAAAUAAAUGUUGUUUUCAUUAUAAUAUUCUGUAUGUAUUAGAUGUAAUGCUAGUUUGGAAUUGUUGUGCUAUUUAAAAAAAAAAAGAAGGCUUUUGUUAUGCAUUGAGAAUAAUCAUUUGUAAAAUAAAACAGUUGAGUAUUUGAUAAACUUUAUUUUGAAAAGUGUUGUGAGUAAUAAAUCAAUGGAAAAAAUGCAUUUUGAAUGUAAAAGUAGUACAAUUUUGUAUAAAGACGAAAAUAGACAUAACAGUCACCUAAUAUUUGUUGAGUAUGAGGGCUGCUAAAAUGUACUAUUUUUAGGAUAUGAAUCUCACAGUAGAGAAAAAUGACUUUAUAUGUGUUUUUAAGUAGUUGAACUACUUUUUAUAUCACCAAUUAAUUUUAUGAUAGAGUCUUAACUUUUUUUACGUAUGUGUAGAAAUGUGAACGAUAGAUUUUAACCUACCCUUCCAGGAGAGUUUCAAGAUUACAAUGUAUAGUAUCCUUCAUGGAGACAAUCCUUCCUCAAAACUUACUAACAGAAAAUAAUGUAGAGAUUAUUUACAUGUAUAUAUCUCUUCUCUUUUUUUUGUUGUUGACGAGAAUGAUUUGCAAUAGAAAGUAGGAGGUACCCAGCAAGAAAUACAUAGGGGAGGCCGAGGACCUAAGGAUGGAAAAAGAAGACUAGGAGCGCAGCUCCAGUCACCACCAAUAGGACCCCAGAAUCAAUUAACUACUCUAGUGGUGACAUGGAAUACUAUCAAUGGAUAGGAUAUGAAUUAGAGCGGAUGGGGGUCUGGGGACCCAGACUUCCGAACACAUCCCUCUAUUACAAUGCGAGGCAACCCAAUCGGUUGCAGAAUAAAAGGGGGGACUUCUGCAUCGGGCCAUGCCACCCAAACCAACUUAGGGAAGUCACAUUUGUCCCAUCGCAAGCACCUACAAUGUCAUGAUCACAUUGGUUUACCCUUUUUUUUCUUUGGUAGUUCAACGGACGGUCGCCCCUCCAACAAGAAAGGGUAUAAAUAUAGAAACUUCUUUGCCAUUUGGAUUGGAGAAUUUAUGGAGGAAAUCGGCUUUUAAAUUUCCAGAAACCAAACGAUUAUAUAGCCAAAGGGAAUACGCCGCGCCUAAAAUCAUCCCAAGCGCUGCUAAUGUGGCUACUAAGCUAUUUCUUUGGAAAGCUCCUACUAAGAUGGGAAAUUCCCCGAUAAAGUUGCUAGUACCGGGUGAACUCAUAUUGGCCAAAGUGGAAGAGAAGGAAAUGGUAGAGAGAUUCGGCAUGGUGCUCACUGAACCUCGUAAUAUCUAACAAGUCGAGUCUUAUGUCGGUCAUAUAGAACACCAACACAUAGAAAAAGGGCUGAAGGAACCAGUCCAUGACUUAACAUCGGUAGAAUGCUACCUCCAAUUCCCUGUAUGUUUUGAUAGAGCCAAAAAUUCUCCCUACUGAUCGGAGUACGCCGAUUACCCCCCGAACCAUACAAGAUAGUUACUGCCUAUCAUACGGCUUUCUAACUUCACUUUUUUUUAUAGUCGUUCCGUUCUAUCGAUCGAUGGUAGUAUAAGAGAUCCGUAACUCCCUAAAAUUAUUUACAUAAUGGUUCCUGCGUCCUACCCAUAAUUAGCAUGUAUCUCCCCAUGUCAUACUUGAGUAUCACGUCGUAGACCCCCACCCUAACUCUAUCUUCCUUAUCAGUGACCGGAAAUAGUGCAUAGGUACUAUUCAAUGCUGCGGGGACGAGAUGACGUGACAUACUACGAUCACGUACAGAAGUGCUGCCAUUCGGCUCGGCAAUAUGGAACCUCUCAACAACUCCCGUUCCUUUAUGAGGUCUUAUUGGGAUAGGUAGGCCCAAUCCUUUCCCCCUCCCUCCAUAAGACCCUAUUUCUCUUUCCCCCUCAAGAAAGAGAAAGAAGAGAAUCACUCAUUUUUUUUUCUUUUCUUUCAUGUGAACGACCCCUUCUUAUAUUGAAAGGUUUUGCGUGCUAUACACCACGCCACGUUGAGAAAGACCAGCCUUCUAUGUACCCUUUUUUUACCUUGAAAGGGAGGUCCUCCUUAUGAUGCUACGGACCGCUGUCCGAAGUGCAAAGGGCAAACUCGGACUCGGAUAGGAUAGGAUUGUGCGCGCCCGGCCCCUUGGGUGUCAUAUUUUGGCUGAGUUUACCGUACCCCCUGCCCUUAUGUUACGCGACAGUAAUAUUUUGUUACGUUCCACCGCUGUUACGCCAGAAAUAAAAGGUUCUGCAUUGAAUCAAAACAGUGAUUAUUCUUGUAUUGAAUGGAUUCGAAGAAGAUGAUGAAAUUGGAAAAUGGUUUCUACUCACUCUCUACAAGUUGUAGAGAUACUUCUUUUGAUUUCUGAUAUCUCUCUUAUCUUCUUUCUCACAAAAGUCGUGAGAUAAGGAAAACAUAAACUAUUAGGGACUGUUGGAUCUAUUCUCACUCUCAGAUUAGAUCACAGCCACACAUCUAACAAGUAAUCAAAACAUAAGAAAUUCACAUGGCUCUCAUGGCCUUUUACAAAACAAAACCUUUACACUUGGCAUUCUAAGCACAAGUGGAUACACCAUUUGAAAACAUAAAAACUUAUUUUAUCAGCUCAUAACUUAUAAUUCAACACUCCCUUUAAGUUUUGAGCUGAUUUCACAUCGAGCAUAUCUCUGAGAUAGUUGAACCGAUCCUUGGUUAAGGCUUUAGUGAAGAUGUCUGCAACUUGCUCAUUUGUUGGACAAUACACUAAGUCAAUUACCCCUUAUUGUAGUGCAUCCUUGAUGAAGUGAUACCUUCUGUCAAUGUGUUUGGUUUUCUGAUGAAACACUGGAUUAUUAGUGAUUGCGAUUACAACUGUAUUGUCACAGUGCACUGGGGUUGCUUCGGUUUGUAAUUCACCAAAGUCUUCAAGGACAAACCUAAGCCAAAUAGCUUGAGCAGUUGCCUCAGAAGCACUGAUAUACUCAGCUUCUGCAGUGGAGAGAACUACACAAUUUUGUUUCACUGAAGCCCAUGAAAACACCCCACUACCAAAAGAGAAAGCAUAUCCAGAAGUGCUUUUACUGUCAUCAACUGAUCCUCCCCAAUCACUAUCACAAAACCCAAUUAGCAUUGCAUUCUUUCCCUUUACAUACUCCAUGCCAUAAUCCAGGUUGCCUUUAAUGUAUCUUAGCACUUUUUUAGCAAUACCAAAAUGCUUAUUUGUGGGACUGUGCAUGAACAUAUCAAGGGGACUGGCAACAUACAUUAUAUCUGGUUGAGUGGUAGUAAGAUAUAGCAAGUUUCCCAUAAUUAUUCUAUAUUGUUCCUCACUUGCUGAUCCACUACCAUUAUUUUUACACAACUUAUCUGAUGGGACAAGAGGUGUGAAUACAGAUUUGCACUCACUUAGACCAAAUUUAUUCAACAGAGAAGCAGCAUACUUUCUUUGGUGAAUAAAAAUACUAUAGUGAGUUUGAAUAAUUCCCAUGCCAAGAAAAUGAUGAAGAAGACCCAAAUCAGUCAUUUCAUACUUGACCAUCAUAUCCUCCUUGAAUUCUUUCAACAGAUCAUUGCUAUUUCCUGUAUACACUAUGUCAUCCACAUAAAUUGAAACAAUCAGAAUUUCAUCUCCCAUUGCUUUGGUGUAGAGAGUAGCCUCACUGAGACUCUUCAUAAAACCACACUGUGCGAGGUAAGUGUCAAUCUCUCCAUACCAGGCUCUAGGUGCCUGUUUGAGACCAUAGAGAGCUUUAUGAAGUUUAUACACUUUGUCUUCUUUCCAUGUGAUCACAAAUCCAUUAGGUUGUUCUACAUAUACCUCUUCUUCCAAAACACCAUUCAGAAAGGCAGAUUUUACAUCAAGCUGAUAUAGUUUCCAACUCUUUUGUGCAGCCAAAGCAAUAAGAGUUCUGAUUGUAUCCAACCUAGCAACAGGGGCAAAAGUCUCAUUGUAGUCUAUUCCUGGUUUCUGAGCAUAUCCCUUUGCAAUAAGCCUUGCCUUGUUCUUUUGCACAGUUCAAUCAAGAUUGAGUUUGGUCUUAAACACCCAUUUAACUCCAAUUAUAGGCUUAUUUGAUGGUCUGUUUACCAGUUUCCAGGUUGUAUUUUUCUCAAUCAUGGAGAGCUUAUCUUUCAUGGCUUUCAUCCAAGACUCAUCCUCAGCAGCAUCUUCAUAUUUCUUAGGUUCUAUAAUGCACAAAUUGCAUUGAGCAAGUACGUCAUCCAAGUUUCUCCAUUUCAAUGGAGUAUGAUAAAAAACUUGUGAGCCUCUCACACCUUCACUUGAUUUGCUAGAAGACUCACUCGACUGUACUUGUGGAGUAAUCUGAGUGUCAUCAGUAUCACUUGGAGUUUCUCUCAAACUACUAGGUGACAAGGUAUCUGAGACUUGAGUCUCAUCUUCUGUGUACUCACUUCUUGGUAUCUCAAUAGACUACCAUUCAUAGUUAGGCAUAAUCGCAUGUUUCUCUAUGUUUCCUUGCCAGUUCCAACUUGAAUCUUCAUCAAACACAACAUCUCUUGAUAAUAUUAUCCUUUUAGAGAGUGUAUCAAAAACUCUAUACCCUUUCUCACACUUUGCAUAACUAACAAAAACUCCCUUCAGACUUUGAGCUUCUAGUUUGUGCCUUAGCUUAGAUGGAGUGUGCACAUAGCAAAUUGAGCCAAAAACCUUCAAAUGAGCAAUACCCGGUUUCCUUCCACUGUAAGCUUCAAAGGGGGUUAUGUUGUCAAGAGAUUUGGUAGGACAUCGAUUCAGAAUAUAAACUGCAGUAUGUACAGCCUCUGCCCACAUAUAGUAAGGCAUCCUUUUAUCAUGUAGCAUAGACUUGGCCAUUUCAACCACAUUUCUAUUUUUCCUCUCCACCACUCCAUUUUUCUGUGGAGUGUAUGCAAGAUAGAGUUACCUUUGAAUGCCUUCUGUAUCACAGAACUGAUUGAAUUCAGCAUAUAUGAACUCCCCUCCUCUGUCACUCCUCAGACAUUUCACCUUUAAACCAGUUUACAACUCAGUCAUUGCUCUGAACUUCUUGAAGUAAGAGAAAGCAUCAGAUUUAUAUUUAAGAAAGUAUACCUAAAUCAUUCUUGUUGCAUCAUCCACAAGUAGCAUAAAAUACUUGUUUCCUCUAGUGGAUUCAUUUCUCAUUGGCCCACAUAGAUCAACAUGAACUAAUUCGAGUAGAGCACCUGCUCUUUGUGCUUGACCACUAGGAAAGCUUUCUCUGUGUUGUUCACCAUAUUGACAACCUUCACAGACUCUAUCAUACUCUUCUAGAUAUGGUAGACCAUGAACCAUGUCUUUAUCCUUCAACUGUUUAAUUCCACCAAAACUUAAAUGGCCUAAUCUUCUGUGCCAAGUCCAAGUACAGUGAGCAAAACUACUCUUCAACAUAAGUUAGUUCUCGGACCUAAGAGAUAGAGGAUAGCACCUAUUUCCUUUCAUUUUCACACUGAUAAUUUGACAUUCCAAAUAAGGACCAUAAAAAACAGUACAAUACUUCCACCAAACACAAGAUAAUAUCCGUGCUCAUCCAUUUGUCCCACACUUAGUAGAUUCUCCUUUAAACCAAGUAAGUACAUGACUUCUCUGAUGUAUUUCCUCCCUCUAUUAGUUUCAAUACUAGUGAUCCCAUUCCUACCACAUUCACUAACACUCCUGUUGGCAUUUGAACUUUCCCUGCAACAUUGGUCUUCACAUCAAUAAGAAGAUCAAUAUUUCCUGUCAUAUGGUUGCUGUAUCCACUGUUAAUAUACCAUUCUCCAUUAAUUUUUGAUUCAGCCACAACACAAUUUGCAUAGAAUAGGUUUCUCGUCACUUCCAUUUGAUUUGCACAAUUUGCAUAGAAUAGGUUUCUCGUCACUUCCAUUUGAUUUGCACAGUUUGCUUUCUGAACAGCUUUUCCAACAGUACAUUCUUUGGCCCAGUGCCCAAAUCUAUCAUAAUUAUAACACUUAGAUUUCCCUUUAUACCUACAUUCACCAUAAUGAAAUUUGGAGCACACCUUGCACUGAGGUUUUGUACCUUCUUGACUCAUGAUUUGAGCAGAAGUAACAUUUUGUGUAGCAUUAACAAAUGGCUUUUGUUGAAACUUGGGUUUUAAGUCCCACUUCUUACCCUUCUGAUUAUAAUUUCUCUGUGGCUUAAAUGUACUAGACUGAGCAUACCCUCGAUUCUGUCCUUUUGGAUUAAUAGUAAAACAAGAAAAUGCUUUCUUAGUAGCAUCAGAUGAGUGCAAAUCAAACCUCUGCUCUUGACUCUUCAAUAUAGCUAGUACCUCUUGCAGCUCAACAUAUUCCAAACAUUUGGUGUUUUCUAUCACUAAACAUAAAGAAUCAUACAUCUUAGUGAGACUAAUUAACAACUUCUGUACUAAUCUUUAAUUUGAGAAAGUUUCACCAAACAUCUUCAUUUGAUUAAUUAGAUCAUUUAAACGAGUAAGAUACCCAGACAAGGAUUCAUCAUCACGCAUUCUAGUGUAUUCAAAUUCUCAUCUAAGAUUUUGGAGUUUCACAGACCUUACCUGAUCUCCACCAUGAUAUUCACCAUUUAACAAAUCCCACACCACUUUUGCUGAGUCUGUGUUUGCUAUUCGAGGGAAGAUCUGAUUGGAGACUACGCUUUGAAUGAUGUCGAGGGCUUUUGCAUCUUUCAUGAAGAUUGCAGCCAUUUUCUCAUCAUCGUCACCAUCAGCGUCUGUAUCUUCAUCAGUCUUCGCAUUCGUCUUCUUCGAAUCGGGAGUCGUAAUCCCUUUUUCCAACAGAUUCCAUAGUCCACUUGACUUGAAAAUGGUGACCAUUUUGAUUCUCCAGAACUCAUAGUUCUCAUUGGAGAAAAUCGAAGUCAUCACUUCAGCACUUCCAGAUCCAACCAUUGCGAGCUUGUGCGAACCCAUAAAACUCAGUGCCGUUGAUGUUCGAAUUCACUGUGCAUGCCCAGUUCUAAUCGCAACCUGGCUCUGAGGCCAUGUUAGAUUGAAUCAAAACAAUGAUUAUUCUUGUAUUGGAAAAUGGUUUCUACUCACUCUCUACAAGUUGUAGAGAUACUCCUUUUGAUUUAUGAUCUCUCUUAUCUUAUUUCUCAUAUAAGUCGUGAGAUAAGAAAAAAAGAAACUAUUAGGGACUGUUGGAUCUAUUCUCACUCUCAGAUUAUAUCACAGCCAUACAUCUAACAAGUAAUCAAAACAUAAGAAAUUCACAUGGCUCUCAUGGCCUUUUACAAAACAAAACCUUUACACUUGGCAUUCUAAGUACAAGUGGAUACACCAUUUGAAAACAUAAAAACUUAUUCUAUUAGCUCAUAACUUAUAAUUCAACAGAAUUCACUUGUCUAGAAACCCAACGCCACUUGAAAGAGCGAAAGUGGUGACGAAGAUUCCAAAUUUCUUGUAGGAGGAGAAAGAUAGAUCUGUUUGCCUUUUGUUUAUCACCCUUUAUACAAGCUACCAGAGUAGCAGAGUUAGACUAAAAAAUUGCAUUCAUCAUAUUAUUUCAUAUGGUCGUCUACACUGCCAAAACAACGGCCAUGGCCUCCGCCUGGAGCGCUAAGGAGGAUAAUCCAUUUCCAUAGUUCCCAGCCACCAACGAACCUGUGGCGUCACGAAUGAUGACUUCAAGACCCGCAAAGCCCGUUUCCUUGAUCCUGGAUGCAUCACAGUGAUAAGCUCAUAUUUAUAUAUAUUUUACAUAAAAUUCACUUGUCUUUUCUUAGUUAGUUCCUUAUAUUUUUGAGCUAUUUACUAUGUUUUUGUGUUUUGUGUGAUUUAUCAAGCAAAGAAAAGAAAAGUAGCACAAGUGAGAUAUUAUGUAACAAAUUUGUCAAAACUGCCUGUGCAGAUUAGCUGCCUUUGGAAGCAUGUUACGAAUAGAUAAGAAUGAAUGAGAAAAUGAGCGUUAUAUGCUUGGAAAACUAUGGAUGUCUAUUUUCUGGAGAAAUUCACAGAUUGUUAAUAUCAUCUUUCUAGAAGAAGUUACGGGCAUUGUAACACUGAAAGGUUCAGAAAAGGGCUAAGCAGAUUUGGCUAAUAAAAUGAGAAAGUAAAGGCACUUGUUUUGUGUUUUGCUUUGUCCUCAACACUCAGUAGCAAAUGGGGUUAUGAUUGCACUCAUUUGGCUUUGGAGCAAGUGGAAAUGCACAGCUAGAAAGAGAAGGCAUGACACAUGCAAACUGCACAACAUGGAGGGCUUGGCAUGGGCAGAAAAUGGGUGGGUUGUUGGCUGAAAUAAUAAAUAACAUGUGUGUGCAAAUGCAAAGGAAAAACACACACACAUGGGCAAAGGAAAUACACAUACAUGGGCAGAAAAUGUGUUUGUUUUGUGGCUGAAAUGAUGGAGGUCAUGUGUGUGCAAAUGUAAAAGGAAACAUGGACAUCACACACCCAUACAAACUGCACAUGCAAGGAAUUGAAGUGGUCCUCUCCUUAGCCUAUAAAUACAUCCACCAUUCCCCUUCCUAAAAAAAAUCUUGAUCCAUCAAAAGAGCUUCAUUCACAAACACAAGUCCUUUGCCUUAAGCUCCAUUCCAUUUCAUCCAUACAUUCAAACACAUCUCCAUACAUUUCCAUUUUCCAUGUUGUGCAAAUCCAUUCCAUCCAUAUAUCCAUACACAUCCUAGACACUUGUGCUACAACAAGGUGGUGAAAACAAAGGUCCUUGGCGUUUCAAGCUUGGAACUUUGGAGCGUUUUAGGUGUACUUCGUUCUUGCUUUCAAUGUCUACUUUGUUAUUUUCUAAUUUUGUUGCAAUUAUGAGUGGCUAAACCCCUAUUUAGUUAGGGGGAAGUUUGAAGCCAUGAACAUGCUUGAGAUUUGAAUUGAUUUCUUCCAAUUGUGAUUUGAUAAGUUGUGAUUGCAAUUCAAUUAUCUAUUUUAUUCAUAACUAAUUCUUGUAUGUUUAUUAAGGAUGCAUGCUUAGUUUUCAUGCAUGAAUUAGAUGCUAGAAUAUAAAUGAGUUUCACCUAAUCGUUACAAGUUUAUAUUCAUGUGUAGUGAAGGUUGUUUAUCACAAUCGCGUUAAUUGAAUUCUUGGAAAUUGUAUCAUGCAUUCAUAGUUAUAAUUGCCUCGUCAACACUUAUGAUUUUCAUUGAACGUAAUGAUUUUUGAUUGUAUCUCUAUUAUACAUUCAUAUAGGGGACUUUUAGAGAAUGAUUUGGGUUGUCGCAUGCAUUCAUCCAAUUCAAUGAGUAAAGGAAAAUCUGAGGGUUAAUUUGUGCAUCACGGUUAAUCCGGGGUGUUGAGCAUCAUAGUUCAUUGAAAAGCAAUUGGAAAUCGAUUCAUAUACAAGUGUGUCAUGUGUGAAGAACGGACCUCUAACUAAUCCAUCCAUCAUCUUAUUUCUUAAAUUCGUUUUACAAUCUGCCUAGUUUUAUAACUUAUUUGUUUGUUUCAAAUUCAUCAAAACUAAAAUCCCUCCUUUACUUUCUUGUUUCAAAGUGUUUAAAAUCUAUUUUGUUUGUGUUUUAGAAGGUUUUGAGUCAAGUCAAAACCCAAAUUUCGUCCAAAGUUGUGUUAGAGUAAAAAACUGCCUAGUUUGUGAUUUUAGGCAGUUUUGAGUGUUUUUAAGUUGUUUUGAGUCUUGUGAACCUGUUUUGAGUCCUUUGAGUCUAUUCAAACGUUUAACUUUGUUUUUAUGUUUUUGAGUUAGUUUAGAGGUUUUAGCAAGCCCUCAUAAUCCCCGGUUUAGAACGAUCCAUACUUAUAUUUAUAAUACAAUUUGACAACAAGAGGGUUUAAUUUGAGUGCUUAACUUUCAUCGCAUCAAAUUUUGGCGCUGUUGCUGGGGAUUAGCAACUUUGCUAAUCCCCCAUUGUUUCUUUUUCAUGUCUUUUGUUUUAGUUACUGACUUUGUUUCUAUUUGUGUCUUUUAUUUUUACUUAUGAUAUUUGAUUUAGUUUUGUUUCCUUGAUUUCAGGUACUAGAGAAGUAAGACAUGGAUUUUGCUACCAUUCAAGCUCAAUUGGCGAAACUUACUUCUCAAUUCUCACAAGAUGCCAAAAGGACCACAAUACAAAGUGUCCCUACAGAAGGUAUGUCCUAUGGGGAAGGAUAUCCAACUCAUCAAUGUUCUCAAUUCGCUGCGAAUGAAGAUGCUUGGGGUUAUCAAGGCCAUAGCCAAUCAUGGGACAACAUGUUUUCCAACGCUUACAAUUCGGAUUGGAGAGAUUAUUCAGAUUACAUGUGGGGAGAACCUCAACAAUUCUAAAAAGAUGGGUAUUAGCAGCAAGAAGAGGAAUUCUAUUCAAGACUUAUGCAGCCACCACAACAAUCUACCCAAUUCAAUUCAGGUACGUCUUUGGAUAAUGAUAUGUUUAAUAAGUUACUCACCUCUUUGAACCAGGAAGUAGAAAAUGGAAACAAAGAAAUGAAAAAUCAAGCCAAGAAGACGGGAGAAUUGGAGAAGCAAAUUGGGCAGAUUAUGGAGUUCAUGGUACAAAUUCAAGAGCAAAGUGAACUCUCCAACUCAACUAUUGAAAAUUUGAAGGAAGAUUUUGAAAUCCAUGAUGCUAUCACUUUGGGAAGUGCUAUAGAGGUUGAAGGUGAACCCAAGACAUCCAAACCAAGCCAAAACAUGGAUGAACAGCUACUGCUCGAAGAAGAGGAGAAUAACAAGGCCAUGGCAAGGGAAGAACCACCUUUGCCGCAACCCCAUAUGCCAUUUAUGCCGUCCACUUCAACCAAGGUAAGCCUAAAUUCAAUUUGUCCUGACCCCGUUUCACCAAAUGUCCUUAUUCCUUGCAGGAUCAUGCAAUCCAAGGAAGAAGAGGGUGAGAAAGGCAUCUUCGAAACCUUUCCAAAGAAUCAAAAGCAAGAAGUGGAUGGGGAAUGUCUAGAAUUCAUCAAAGAAGAUACACUUGAGACGAAAAUUCCCAAAGAAGUUGGAUUUUAUGACACGGGACAAGUCAUAACUCUUAAAACACCAAAUCUGGCCAAGUCCCAUAUCCUUGCAACCUUCAAAGAUGUGGUGUUCGUAACUGAGGUUGUGUUGGAGCAAGCAAGUAAGCCAUCUUCUCCAACUUCGAUUUAUUAUAUACUAACUUGCUGGUUUUGAUGAUUCAGGCACCUACACUAGAAUUUAAACCAUUGCCGGAUCACGUCAAGUAUCACCGUCCAUUCAAGGAUCAAUUCCAUGCUAUGGGCCCUAUCCAAGUUUAGAAGGAAGUUUCAUCUGGCUGGAAGACGUUAAAGCAAGCGCUUCUUGGGAGGCAACCCAUGUAUUCAAAUAAGGAAGAUUUUUGAAUUGCUCCACAAUCAGUUUUGCAUUUCUAAAAACCUUCCCUUUUUCUGUAGUUUUAUUUUGCCAUGAUUGUCAUUUUUAUUUGUUGAUUGUUUAAUUGUUUUUGGUGUGGGUUUUUUUUUUUUUUUUUUUUUUUUUCAAACACUGACAGUUAUGCAAGGUAUUUUUACAUUCAUAAAAAAGAAAGGAACAUUAAGCAGAUAAAUACAAGAGGGAGCCUUCACAAAGGCUGCUUAGGAGAAGUCUCAGUAGUCGGCGGAGCCUCAGCAGUCGGCGGAGCCCCAGAAGGAAGAGGCAUCGGAGGUUGAUCAUUUGGAACUUCAUUACGCGGUACAGCCCCAGAAGACGAAGGCAAAUGCUAUUGGAACAAACCCACAAACCUCUGAUGAUCAAGUAAAAUCUGACCAUCAGAUUCUUGCAUUUGGUCAAUCUUCCUCUUCAUGUUUGUAGCAUAGUUAUGUGCGAGCCUGUGCAACUAUUUAUUCUCAUGCUUAAGCCCUCUAAUCUCCUGCUUGAGACUCAUCACUUCAGCCGCUAAUGAUUCAACUUGACGGGUUCGGGCAAAUAGGCGUUGGGCCAUAUUAGACACGGAACCUGCGCACUGCACACUGAGAGCCAGAGAAUCCUUAACAGCCAACUCAUCAGAUCGUUGGCAAGUAGUCUGUUAUCUUUGGGAGUGACAAGGUUCUUGGCCACCACCGCAGCUGUCAUAUCAUUCUUCAUCACCGAAUCCCCAACGGUAAGGGGACCAAUAGGGGAUAUAAAGGAUGGGCGCCAUAAGUUGUCUGGAGAAGGCGGGACUGCCUCUUCACCAAGGUUCAAGUCAAAACAACAGUCGGAGGGGCCAGACAUUUUCAGAGGUGUUAAAGAAAGAAGAGGUCGGACAAGUCAAGAUCGUAGAAGUGCAAGAAAAGAGUUUUUACAGGCAGAAAUUCAAGUGUUCUUUAAACGUCCUGCGUACCUCUAUAAAAAUUAGCACACGAUGGGAUUUCAGAGGUCGAAGAGGCGAGCUUAGAAAUCGAAGAGGCUAACUCAAAAAUCAAAGAGGCGCUAGCUUUCUCAAAAGCUGGGUUUGCUCAGAAACCACGACCAAUCUUCUUUUCCAGAUUUGUCCGCACUUGUCACAUGCAACCUCUGCACUCGACGGGAUUUCAGAGAUCGAAGAGGCAAGCUCAGAAAUCGGAGAGUUAUAUGCUUUUCCAAACGUGUCAGCAUCUGUCACAUGCAGAGUUAACUUUGCAGAAAUCACGGGCAGUUUGUCGAAGCGCCGAUUCCAGAUAUUGAAGAGGCACUUUCUUUUCUAGACGUGUCAGCGCUUGUCACAUGCACAUUCAGCCUUGCGGAAAUUACGGGCAAUCUAUCGAAGAUCUCUUGUGAAGUAGAAAACACGUGAAGUUCACUAUUAAAUCAUCCAACGGUUGCUGACAAGAGUGAAAGAAUAGUACCGGUUAUUAAUUCCUAUAAAUGACACCUUUCACCCUCCAUUGCAAGGCAAACAUACAUAACCCUUCUUCUUAUCUGAGAAUGCCUUUCCAACAAACCCUUUCGAGUUACCCAGUGUUCCUUAUUCCUUGGGGUACCUCUGCAAACAACUCAUCCAAAGCAAAAGUAUUUCAUAUCAUGAAGGUUGAAAGCAAGAGUAUCUCAUAUCAUGCUUUCUCCCUGUCUUUCUCCUUGUCGUUGUUUUGGGAUAAGGAGAAAGAGAGCAAUCAGCCAGCACUUGGUAUCAAUCUUCCGAUCUGAAACCGACUGCCUGGAACCCCUUCCUGAUUGCUUACCUAGCCUUGCUCUCGAGUACUCAUCUUCAUCAUUUUAUGCUUCCUCUUCGUUUACCACAUUUGCUUGGGGAACAGAUAAGGGAAGUGAAAAUGAUACCUCGAAACAUGUGGAGACAAUUUACCAAUUCAUCCUCAGCUAGGGACAAGGAGAAAAAAAAGCAAGAGGUGGGCACUUAGAAAGAUUGAAGAAAGAAACAGACCAACAUCUCUACCUCGUGCCUACCCGCCAUGCAGAAGAAACAAGCAGAGAAGAAUGAGACUGCACAAUAAAAUCAACCCAGUAGAAGGAGUCUGAUUUGAAACCAAGGAACUCUCAUAUUCCUCGCUCAGAAUUCCAAACCAGUUCGAGAUCAAAGCUGUGGAAAGAUAACAAGAUCAUCUAUCUCCAAAACCAGAUUUGCGUUCUUAAACUCUACUCUGUCUAAUUUUUACUUUGUCAUACUUGUCAUGUUUGUUUGUGUGAGUUUAUGCUUGAAACAUUGAGGACAAUGUUUGAUUUAAGUGUGGGGGGGGGUAACCAUUGUUUUGCAUGAAAUUCGUAGGAGUUUAUCACCCAUUACUUUUAAUGUUAUUCCUUGCUGUUUUAAGUGUUUUUAAGCUGUUUUGUAGUGUUUCUGUGUGUUUUGACAUAAAAAUCCGAAAAUCUCAUAAAAAUUUGAAAAAUUGUUUUGAAAAACCCAAAAGAGUUGUUUUUGUAUGUUUUGUGUCUUAGGGUACCUUCCAACACAAUGAUGAGGAUUUGGUUUUUAAUUGCUUGACUGUUAAAGAGAGUUAUAAACAUGGAUGAAAAUUUGAUUUACUCUUUGGUGUAUGCUUGGUUGUGGUUAUAAUUUAUGAAUUCACAUGCAAUCAUAAAGGAAAAAUCAGUUUUGUAACAUGCUUGAAAGAAGGAACUCAAAUGUACGCUACAACCUUGUGAGACUUGAGCCUAAACAUUUAUUUGGAGAGUUAAUAAUCUGUGCAUCAUUGUUUUCUAAAGUCGUUGCAUGAUCUCAUUAUUCUUUGCUUGGUUGCUACUUAGAAGGUGUUUCAUUAGUUAGUUCCAAAUGCUAGAACUCAUGCCUAUUUCAUUCAAAGCAUGUUAUUGAUUUGCAUAAUACAUAUUCAAGAUGAAGUUGUGUAGUGACCACCACAGCCAAAUUGCCGUGCCCUAUUUCAUUAUGUGUUUAAGUUUAACCCCGUUGAGCCUUGUGUAGCCUAUGUUCUUUGUUAACCCACAAUAUCCUCACCUCGCCUAUAUUAGGACCAUCCAUACCCUUGUUCUUGAAGCAUAGUAAAACGUAAUUUAGAAGGAAUUCCUUUUGUUGAACUUUUGCAGAAAAAGGGGGGGAAGUGAUUCUUGUGUGUGUGUGUGUACCAAAGUCCUUAAUAAGGCACGGGUAGAAAAGAAAAAGAAAAAAAAAACAUUCGUGGAAAAUAGAAUGAAAAGAAGAAAAGUUGUGAAAAAGAGCCCUAAGUGUUGCAUGAAUCUUUCCUUUGUAUUUAAAAGUUGAUUCUGCAUUCUAAAGUGAAUUCCAAAGUGUCUAUUUCAUUGCUUUGCUUGCUAUCGCUUUAAGAACAUUUGUUAUUCCUAACAUUUGUUAUUCCUAUCCUUUCUUUAUUAGCCAAUACCCCAAGCCCCGUUACAACCCUUGACUUCUUUCUUGAGUGUUAUGUGUUUCAAUUUGUGGAGUUUGAAAUUGGUAUGAGCAUAUGGUGUCACUGAUUCUCGCAUCUAAGUAGUAGCGUUCCAUUCAUGAGAUCAUAUCUAAACAUGCUGAAUAACUCCAGAAAAGUGCCCUCUUUGUUAUACAUAUAUGUGAGUGUUCGUUUUCAUGUUUACAUCAAUCUUCUCACAUAUAACUAGUGUAGGGUGUGUAGUCAGAAAAUGUGUGUGAAAAGAGAAUAUCUUGUAAGGAAUUGAGUAAAUUCUCUAAGGCAUGUUACUACAUUCAAAACAUCGUUUUAAUUGGUUAAAUGUGAACUAGUAAGUGGUGACUGUGAUUAAGUAUGUGCUCAAGUGUUAAGUUGAAUAAAAUCUGUGGGAAUGAUGAUUUUUAACUUGUCAUGUGCGUUGGAAAUCCCUGAGGCAAACGUUGGAAGGUUUAGGUUGUGUUUUGUUUUCUUUAUUUUGCUCGAGGACUAGCAAAAGCUAAGUGUGAGGGUAUUUGAUAAGCUCAUAUUUAUAUAUAUUUUACAUAAAAUUCACUUGUCUUUUCUUAGUUAGUUCCUUAUAUUUUUGAGCUAUUUACUAUGUUUUUGUGUUUUGUGUGAUUUAUCAAGCAAAGAAAAGAAAAGUAGCACAAGUGAGAUAUUAUGUAACAAAUUCGUCAAAACUGCUUGUGCAGAUUAGCUGCCUUUGGAAGCAUGUUACGAACAACUCAAAAUGAAUGAGAAAAUGAACCUUAUAUGCUUGGAAAGCUACGGAUGUCUAUUUUCUGGAGCAAUUCACGGAUUGUUAAUAUCAUCUUUCUAGAAGAAGUUACGAACAUUGUAACACUGAAAGGUUCAGAAAAGGGCUAAGCAGAUUUGGCUAAUAAAAUGAGAAAGUAAAGGCACUUGUUUUGUGUUUUUCUUUGUCAUCAACACUCAGCAGAAAAUGGGGUUAUGAUUGCACUCAUUUGGCUUUGGAGAAAGUGGAAAUGCACAACUAGAAAGAGAAGGCAUGACAUAUGCAAAAGAGAAACAUGGACAGCUACACACAUGCAAACUGCACAGCAUGGAGGGCUUGGCAUGGGCAGAAAAUGGGUGGAUUGUUGGCUGAAAUAAUGAAGAACAUGUGUGUGCAAAUGCAAAGGAAAAACACACACACAUGGGCAAAGGAAAUACACAUACAUGGGCAGAAAAUGUGUUUGUUUUGUGGCUGAAAUAAUGGAGGUCAUGUGUGUGCAAAUGUAAAGGGAAACAUGGACAUCACACACCCAUACAAACUGCACAUGCAAGGAAUUGAAGUGGUCCUCUCCUUAGCCUAUAAAUACAUCCACCAUUCCCCUUCCUAAAAAAAAUCUUGAUCCAUCAAAAGAGCUUCAUUCACAAACACAAGUACCUUGCCUUGAGCUCCAUUCCAUUUCAUCCAUACAUUCAAACACAUCUCCAUACAUUUCCAUUUUCCAUGUCGUGCAAAUCCAUUCCAUCCAUAUAUCCAUACACAUCCUAGACACUUGUGCUACAACAAGGUGGUGAAAACAAAGGUUCUUGGCGUUUCAAGCUUGGAACUUUGGAGCGUUUUAGGUGUACUUCGUUCUUGCUUUCAAUGUCUACUUUGUUAUUUUCUAAUUUUGUUGCAAUUAUGAGUGGCUAAACCCCUAUUUAGUUAGGGGGAAGUUUGAAGCCAUGAACAUGCUUGAGAUUUGAAUUGAUUUCUUCCAAUUGUGAUUUGAUAAGUUGUGAUUGCAAUUCAAUUAUCUAUUUUAUUCAUAACUGAUUCUUGUAUGUUUAUUAAGGAUGCAUACUUAGUUUUCAUGCAUGAAUUAGAUGCUAGAAUAUAAAUGAGUUUCACCUAAUUGUUACAAGUUUAUAUUAAUGAGUAGUGAAGGUUGUUUAUCACAAUCGUGUUAAUUGAAUUCUUAGCAAUUAUAUCAUGCAUUCAUAGUUAUAAUUGCCUCGUCAACACUUAUGAUUUUCAUUGAACGUAAUGAUCUCUGAUUGUAUCUCUAUUAUACAUUCAUAUAGGGGACUUUUAGAGAAUGAUUUGGGUUGUCGCAUGCAUUCAUCAAAUUCAAUGAGUAAAGGAAAAUCUAAGGGUUAAUUUGUGCAUCACGGUUAAUCUGGGGUGUUAAGCAUCAUAGUUCAUUGAAAAGCAAUUGGAAAUCGAUUCAUAUACAAGUGUGUCAUGUGUGAAGAAUGGACUUCUAACUAAUCCAUCCAUCAUCUUAUUUCUUAAAUUCGUUUUACAAUCUGCCUAGUUUUAUAACUUAUUUGUUUGUUUCAAAUUCAUCAAAACUAAAAUCCCCCUUUUACUUUCUUGUUUCCAAGUGUUUAAAAUCUAUUUUGUUUGUGUUUUAGAAUGUUUUGAGUCAAGUCAAAACCCAAAUUUCGUCCAAAGUUGUGUUAGAGUCAGAAACUGCCUAGUUUGUGUUUUUAGGCAGUUUUGAGUGUUUUUAAGUUGUUUUGAGUCUUGUGAACCUGUUUUGAGUCCUUUGAGUCUAUUCAAACGUUUAACUUUGUUUUUAUGUUUUUGAGUUAUUUUAGAGGUUUUAGCAAGCCCUCCUAAUCUCCGGUUUAGAACGAUCCCUACUUGCAUUUAUACUACAAUUUGACAACAAGAGGGUUUAAUUUGAGUGCUUAACUUUCAUCGCAUCACACAGCUAAUUUUCACCAAGGGGUCAGUGUGAGGAGUCCAAGUAGGAGACGGAGACGAAACAUAAGGGUUCGUAGGCAUUAGAUAAGGGUUAGCUGACCAAAAGUUCUCCAUGGCCGAAGUUGCCCUCUAGACGGUGAAAAUGGGGGAUGGGGUAGAGCCGUUGAAGUUGGCAUGACAUCUAGUUUUUCAGAUUUCCUAGCAGGUGAAAGCAACAAGGGAAUAAAAACUGGCACAAUCAACAUUGACGCCAACAGAACAAGAUGACAGUGCCAUUAACAAACAGUUGAAAGAUGAGAUGCAAACCAAACUGCUUUCGUCUACGGACAGAGGAGGAUGCAAUGUUCGACAAUCUCUGGCAUGUUUGAACAUAACGGGCACAUUAGAUUGGCAUGAGCACCGCAUUGAAACAAGCCCGACAUUGUUGGUAGGCAAUUAUUAGCAAUUCUCCACAAGAAGAACUUGAUCUUAGGCAAGACAUGGAGGCCCCAAAUUGUUUCCAAAAAAUUGGGUUGAUGUAGUGAGAUUGAUGAGGUUUACCCAUAGAGGAUAGAAGACCCUCCCCCAAAGAGUGUCAAACUUAACCACAUAUUCUUCGCUUUCUGACCAAGGCCAAAUAAGGCGACCACAUGAUGAUAGGUCCCCCAAAGGGAUACACUCGAUUUCACCCCUUAUUUUUAUUAAUGUUCCAAGAAAGUUGAAAGUAAUGAAGAAGCUUAUGACAUGAUGUAUAGCCAAUAUUAUUAGUUAAGUAGUGGAGAAAUUUUUUCAUGUGACUGGAACACACAUCUCAGCACGACAGGUAGUGUUCCUCACCAAUAAUCUAUGGACACCUGUAUUCUUAUAGCAUAAUAAUUUAAUACAUUUAAAUUUUAUUAAAAAAAAUCAAAAUAAACAAACCUGCACUGUUCUUAAUAGUCCCAAUCUCCUAAAAGGCCCCCAUCUUAGCCUGACUCUUCUCCUCCCCCCCAUUGUUACCGGAAAAAUCUUAAACGGAGGUCAAUGACGGCAAAAUCUUAAACCACCCACCUCCAUCGUCUCCUGUGAUUUCACUCGGGACACCAUUUUUCACAAAGGUUUCCGAUUCCAUGCCUAAUGCCUUGGCUUUUUGCUGCUUUGGGGUUGUAUUGUUGCGCUCCCACCCCUCCCUCCCUUUUCAAAAUUGCAAUACCUUUUUGAAAUUGUAAAACCAAAUGGUGCCUCUGGUAUUGUUCGAAAUUUCAAGUUAGAGUGGUAUGAUGGCAUUGUUUUGUACUGCAUUCUAGUCAGUAAAAGUUUAUGGAUGAGUAGGAUACUUACCAUGUCCUGUGGUGAAGAUUGUUUAUAUCAAGUAGUAAUAUUUUUCUGUGGAAGCAUCAAACUAAUUGAUGACUUGGAACUUUCUCUUUAAUUGUAAUUGGGAAAAAACGGGUGUCUAUAAAUGUGGUUUUGGACUCACAGACAGACGACUGAGGUUAAUUCGUAAUUACUCAAGGCCAUCAACAACGAAAUUCUUUGUCAUAAGACAAAAAAUGAGAUUCCUUUCUUUUGAUACUGUAUGUAUAUUGAACUGGGUGGUAUCGAUACGUGCAUCGUCAACAUGAGGUGUCCGGAUGAUGUUUGCAUCAGUAACAACAAUUUUCAAAUUUAUGUUUGGAUCUAAACUUUUAUUAUCAAACAUCUAAAAAUUUAGUUGGAUUGCUUAGAAUCAUUUGUUAUAAUGAUUUUUUUUUUUUGGGGGAAUCGUCUUACUUCCUCAAAUUUUUAGCUUCAAAUUGGUUUGAAUCAUAGUGACUGCAGUUUCUCACUCAGGUUGGAAAACUCGGGACUUAAUUUUUCUUGCAACAAUACAACCCCAAAGAAGCAAAAAGCCAAGGCAUUAGGCAUGGAAUCGGAAACCUUUGUGAAAAAUAGCAUCCCAGGUGAAAUCACAGGAGACGAUGGAGGUGGGUGGUUUAAGAUUUUGCCGUCACCAACCUCCGUUUAAGAUUUUUCCGGUUACAAUGAGGGGAGGUGAAGAGUCGGGAGGAGAUGGGGGCCUUUGGGGAGAUGGGACUAUUAGGAACAGUGCAUGUUUGUUUAUUUUGAUUGUUUUUUAAUAAAAUUUAAAUGUAUUAAAUUGUUAUGUUAUAAGAAUACAGGUGUCCAUAGGUUAUUGAUGAGGAACACCACCUAUCUUGUUGAGGUGUGUGUUCCAGUCACAUGGAAUGAGACACUACCUACAAGUAACUUUUUCAACAAGAAUCUUGAGCAGACAUUUGCGCAAAGCAUAUACCAAGGCAAUUAAUAAUAUUAAAUGGUAAAGUGUUAAAAAGGAUUAAAAAUUUAGUAGCAAAAAAGGAAAUUUAGGGAGAGAACAACUUUUUAAGGUGAGUCCUCUCUUUGUGUGCCCAACUGUCCUACAAAUUAAUCAGCACAAUUGUGUAGGAUAUGCCACUUCUUCUUGAGUAAAAAAAUAUCAAACAUACGAAUUUUGGAAUGAUAUUAAUAGGAGGGCAUUCACAAGUUUUUCAACUUGUUAGUGUCAAAGUUUUAGAUUUUUGUGCCAAGUCGUUAAUGUAUGGUAAAUAAAUAAAAGACCAGAGCGCAAAGCUAGCAAAGUGAUAUUUUAGGCUUAAUUGGGCUUUUUGGCGGUAACAACGCUUUUGGGAGAUUAGACCUUGGUUUAGAGUGAUUUUGACGAUUUGUUUCAAGGGUGUUUUCUAUCCUUUAUUCUUAGGCUAAAUAGCCAAAAUGGUCCCUGAGAUUUGCAUAACUCAUCACUUUGGUCCCUAACAUUUCAAAUCAAUAAAAGUGGUCCCUGAAAUUGUCCACCAUCCAUCAUUUUGGUAUUUCUGUUAAAAAACUCUGUUAAGUGUCCUGGAGCUUUUGGCCGGAAGUUUGGGCAAUUUUCAAAACUUUGUAACUCAAUCGUUUCUAAACCAAAUUCAACCCAUAAUAUAUGAAAAUGAAGAUAGGAAAGUGUAGAAUAAGAUUAUACCUACUUGGAAGCCUAAUGGUUGCCGGAAAUGACCGGAAAAUAGCCUCAAAGUUGACUGGUAUGAGGGAAAACUGGAAAAUUCGCCUGAAACUGGGUAAACGUUAAACGUUCAUAACUUCUUCAAUACUCAACAAAAUCAAGUGAUUAAAAAAAAAUCAUACUUCUCGUCGAGACGAAGAGAAUGGUAUCUUUUUUUAUGGCUAAAUCACCGUGGUUUGGGUGGAAAACGGCUCGAAAAUGGUCGUCCAAGGCCACUUCCCGCCGCACCACCACCAUGGCACCGCCGUUGACCUCUGCGCUAGCUUGCAACCUAACUGCGUCGAGCACGUCACUAAGACGAUGUCAUUUUGACGUUUGACCCAUGGUUGCAGCCCGUUGGGCGUGCAGCGAGCAAAGAUUACCCGGCCUCCUUGGCCUGGGUUUGGUUUGGAUUGGGCAUGCAGCCCCAGCCCAUCAACCAACACAACUUAUUGUCGUUUGCUGGGCUCAGCCCUCACACUCAUGGCUCAUCACCAUCAACUCGUGUGUUGCUGGGCCUGGUCCUGCAUUCUUGGCCUGCCUGCAACAAGCCUGUGUUGCUAGUUGGGCUUUGCCCAAGUCUCAGCCCACUGGCUAGCAGCCUUUUACUGUUGGGCUUGACCUGCCCUGACCCAAAAAUCCUAAACCCAACUUCGGCUGGGCUUCCUCGCAUUAACCCGCAAGCCAACCUUGGGCUGAACUUGACCCAUACAUGGUUUUUAGGCCCAAACUAGCUUCUUUUUGCUGUUGGGCUCCUCAGACCACACAGCCCAGAGGCCUGCAGCCCUCCUGUGACCCAAUAAGCUUGUAGCCGAACUACAGGGCCUAUUCUCGUGAUACUUUUUCGACCCAAUGCCAAUUUUUGGCAUCUUUGCGUUAUAAAUCAUGCCCAAAAUCAUUUUUUGGGCACUUUGAUUUACGCUAAUUAAUUCUAAUUUAAUUAUCACUUGGUUUUUCACCAACUGAAGCUAAUAUGACCUGUUUGUCAUUAUUUUGCUUCCAUGAUCGACCCCGUUUGGUCUCGAUCUAUUGAAUUAAUUAAAAGUGACCUGUAGUCCAUUAAUCUGAUAAUUAAUCCAAAAUUAUUGACCUAAAGAUCACUUUUGGACAUUAACGAUUCAAUAAUUUAUUUAAAUACUUUGAACCGUUGACAUCCUUUCGUAGUCCCGAAGUUCUCACAUUUGAGUUCCCGAUGCAACUCAAAUCCACUACACUUAAAUCAGUAUAUUGCAUUCUGUGUUCUUGCAGGAAUCUCUCAUUUAUGAACUAAGCAUUCAUAAAUCUAAAAUGAAUCUGUAGUUUCAUAUUUAGUGCCUUUGGAACCCGAAGUUUUCAUUCAAAACUUAUCACAUGAAACCUGUAGCUUUCAUGCUUAAAUUAAACCAAUACAUGUCUAUAGAACUCGAAUGUUCUACGAUGUAUGUUUAUGGAUUACCAUAUGACUAACCACGUUUUGUUGUACCCUCCAUUUUAGGGACAUGUUGAACUUGAACAAGCUUGAUUUCACCACUCUGAAAGUAUCUGGAAGAAACUACGUGAAGUGGGUUCAAGACGUGAAACUCCAUCUUACAACAAAGGGUAUUAGAGCCACUAUCGAGGCAUUUACCAACGAAAAACAGGUCGAUGAAGCUCAGAAAACUACUGCAAUGAUCUUCAUUUGAAUACAUAUCCAUGAUGCUCUGCAGACUGAGUAUCUCGAUGAGGAGGACCUACGCACCCUCUAGCUUACUCUGGCCGACAAUUUUGAUCACCAUAAAGACAUUUACUUGCUUGAAGCAAGACACGAUUGGCAGCAUCUACACUUCUAAGACUUCAAGUCCGUAAAUGAAUACAACUAUGAAGUUUGUAGAAUUCGAUCACUACUUAAGUUCUGUAAAGUGAACUUAACCGAAUCAGAUUUCCUAGAAAAGACCUAUUCGACCUUUCAUGCCACCAAUAUUGUUCUGUAGUAACAAUAUAGGGCACAUAAGUUCACCAAAUUUUCGGAUUUGAUCUUUGUUUUACUUCUCCCUGAAAAGAAGAACCAUCUUUUGAUAAAAAAAUCAUCAAGCUCGACCCACUAGCUCGAACGUCGCGUCUGAAGUGCAUGCGACCAAUUUUAGUAGCCAUAAACGACGAAAAAAUCAUUGUCGCCAUGGUAAUGGGCAGCAAGCCUAACCACGGGUCCAAGGUCAAUAGAAUCAAGGCCCACCUAAGGGAGGAAAUUUGACCCAAAAGCACCAACCCCUUACCCCUAAGGCCCCAGGCUUCAAGAACAAGGGAAAAGCUACCGUUCAAUCAGCUUCCACUAAAAUUGACAUGUGCUACCACUAUGGAUCAAUGGAUCAUUGGUCACACGUAUGUUGAGCUACCCCUGAGGCCAUUACCAAGUAUCAUUCUCGUCGUGAGUCUAAUUUUGCCCAUGUGUAACAUCUCGAAGAUGCUACUACAUCCAUGGAGAUAUCAUAUUUUCAAGAGGCAUUAGCUCCUAUGGACAAAUAAGUUUUAUUCUUCUAGACAUGUUUUUAGGGUGUUUUUACCCCUAGUUUCCAAACCCACUAGGAGUGGCUAGACCACCCCUUUAAAUUUGUAGGUUUAUGGUUUAAUUUUUGGACAAUUUUUCUAAGUAUUUGGAAUAAUUUGUUUGGUUUUGGUUUGUUUUGAAUUAUGGACUAUUAUUUUAUGGAUAUUAUUUCUUGAAUUGAUUAAUUGAAUGAAGGGAAUUAUAUUUAUGCAUGUGACCAAUUCAAUCAAUUUAUUUCUAGGUAUGUCUAGCGGGGAAAUUAGUUGUCUGACUGAUAGUGUUACCACACACACCAUAUUGUGUGAGCGAUACUAUUUUACUAACUUCGUACGUAAGAACGCACCUCUGACAACUCUCUCAGUUUCAUCCAACCUAAUUGAAAGAUAUGGAAAGGCCCGUAUCAUGUUGUCCAAUGGUACUGUCUUAACCAUUAAAGAGGCCCUCUAUUCUCCAUGUUUCGGAAGAACAUUGCUGAGUUUUAAAGAUAUUCGAGAUAAUCAAUAUCAUAUUGAAAUCACUGAAGAGAAUGAUUUUGAAUUUCUUUGUAUCACUUCUUACGAGUAUGGCCAGAACCAUAUUCAUGAGAAGUUGGAACGUCUCCCGAGUGAGUUGUACGUAACAACCAUUCGUGGCAUAAAACCCUACCAUGUGGUCGGCCAUGUGCCUGAGUUCCAGAGCACUUUGAUGCUUUAGCAUGACCGUAUGGGACAUCCCGGAUGUGACAUGAUGCGCCGUAUCCUCAAAUCAUCACAUGGGUAUUAUUUACCUCCCUACGUUAGAUUCUUGCCAUGCAAAGUGUGCUUUGGGGAAGUUGAAUACUCAACCCUCAAUUACAAAGAUUAUUCAUAACCCUCCUAAGUUUCUUCACAGGAUUCAAGGGGAUAUUUGUGGACCUAUCCAACCAACAUGCGGACCAUUUAGAUACUUUAUGGUGUUGAUUGAUGCAUCGACAUGAUGGUCACAUGUUUGCCUAUUGUCCACAUGCAACGCUGCAUUUGUGAAACUCCUAGCACAAAUUAUUAAGCUAAGGGUUCACCACCCUAAUUUGUUAAAGUAUUUACAUACUCAGGGGGAGUGUUGCUGUCAUAUUUAGAAUAUGAAUGUCAUUGUGUAAAUCUUAGUGUAUCUAGGGAUAUCUUUGAAUAUUCCCUUUAGUAGCUAAUAUUCUAUUAGAGUUGUAAUCCUAAGAGGGUAAGGAUUUAACCUAUCCUAAUACUAUAAAUAAGGCACACUAGGGUGAUACAACACACACCUCACAAUUAAAUUUUUCUCCUCUCUCUUAUUGUCGCCGGCCUUCCCCUCUUUAUUCCCUUAGAAUAGUUCAGCCAAAUAGGGCUACAACAAAGUACAAAUUAUUUAUUCAAUUUUUAUGGAAAACAAUUUUGCAUGAGCAUUUAUACUACGACUAUUUUAUGCUCUUGCAAGUAUUUUCGGUAAUUUUAACCCUAUUUGAACUAGCAAUAAAAAUUCAUCAUUGGCCAAACAAAUAGAGCCAAUUUAGGCCUAACAAUGGACCACCUUUGGAGCACUAAUAAUCACAAAUAAUUAGCAAUACAAUUCUUCUAAAGAGUAGGCGCCCCUUGAAAAACUAUGCACAAAUAAUAUAAUUAAUCUUGUUGGCAUGGUCUCGAUCAGAAAAAGAGAGAGACACCGAACUCCAACCUAUCUAGGAGACAACCCUUCCUUAAAACUUACAAACUACAUGUAUAUAUCUCGGUUCAGUAUCCCCUUAUUUUUUUAAUGUUCCAAGAAAGUUAAAAGUAAUGAAAAAGCUUGUGGCAUCAUGUAUAGCCAAUAUUAAUUAAUCAAGUAGUGGCUUUUGAGACAAUGACAUCAAGUAAAUUUUUCAACAAGAAUUCUAGCUAGAAUCUUUAGCAGUCAUGUUCACCAAGCAUAUACUGAAGCAGUUAACAAUAUUAAAUUCUAAAGUGUUAAAAAGGAUUAAAUGUUUAGGAUUAAAUAUACUGAAGCAUUUUUAGGUGAUUCCUCUCUCUGUGUGCCCAACCGUCCUUCUACAAAUUAAUCAGCACAACUGUUUACCUAUAUAAUAUAGAAUUAUUGCAGCCGCCUCUUAAAUAAUCAACCGGAAGAAGAGGUUUGCAUGCAUCCCUGGUGACCUCCUUCUAUAGAGAUUAUUUUUCAUGUACCUAAAAUAUAAACUAGUACAUCGCAUGUUAUAAUAUAAAUAGAGAUAAGAUUAUAUUAUUAAGUGCCCUUAACUUGUAAUAUGACAAGUAACGUAUGUACUGGCUUGUGUUCCAAGUAAAUUGAAAAAUGAAAAUCUCUCUUCCCUCUGAACAACAAAACAAACCUCCCUCUCGUCACGCCAAAUAAAGUUAAGGUUCCACCAUAAAAUCUAUUGAUAAUAUAGAGAGUAACCCAACUUACUUAUAAGCACAUGCAAGGUCUCUUCUCUCAUCAAUGUGAGAUUCAUUUUUAACAUGACCCUUCACGUGUGACGGAUUUUCAAGCCAAACUUGUGGACAACACAACGGGAUAGCGUGGAGCACGUGUGGCCGUUGGGCUUCACACGUGGGACAACCUACUCUGAUACCAUGAAGAAAGUUGAGGUUCUACCAUAAAACCAAUUGGCAAUAUGGGGAGUAACCCAACUUACUUAUAAGCACAUACAAAGUCCCCCAUCUCAUAAAUGUGGAAUUCAAUCUCAACAACCCGACCCAAACAUUGUGCUUCUUUUGAAAGUUCAAACCCUUCGGGAGUUUAGGUUUUGUUUAGGGUUUAGGAUUCAUGGAUUUUAAAUUUAUAUUCCCUCUAAUCAGUGGUAACUUCUUUUUCUCAUUCAUCAAUAAAAUCUCCAUCGAGAUAUCUUUGUUAGAAAGCAAAUGGGGCUCCUUUGAAAUAAUAAUUACAAAUGAUUCGCAAUACAAUUCUUAAACUCACCUUCGGACCUUCUUCUAACUAACAAAACAAUUCCUUUCAAGGUUAUUGUAUCUUUAUUUCUUCUUUUUCAAUAUAUUCACAAUAAUUUCUUUCUCAUGAUAACAACGCUAGAGUGAAAGUGAAAUUUUAUUGUUUUAAUAAAAAAAACUAACAAAAAAAAAAAAAAAAAAAAACUUGCUGAUCACGUCAGGUCAACCAAAUAAUGGACCACGUUUGGAGCACUAGUCCCAAAUAAUUAGCAAUACAAUUUUUCAAAAGAGUAGCCGUCCGUUGAAAGACUAUACACAAAUAAUACAAUAUGAUAUCAUAAUCCGAUCCCAAUUUUUAAUUACUACACCAAAAUUCUACCUAAAAGUAAUUAAUAUACCAAAAUUCUGUUGACCUGUAGCUACAAACGUGUUUGAGAAGAGGAGACACAUAAUCUUGUUGGUAUGAUUUCGAUCUGACAAGGAGAGACACCGACUUUGGAAUUUGUAAUCAAGGAAAGUUGUUCUCAUUCUCUUGCGAUUGUGGUUAUUCUCUUGCAAGGUAGCACAUGAAUAGAAAGUCUGUAAAGUACCUAAUUUCUGUGAAUGGUAGUUAAACCUCACAGUUUCAUGUACUAUUAUAUAUCCAAUUUGUCUGGCCAGACUUAGUACAAGAAAGUCGGCCCUUGCCUCUUCCAAGUAACACACACUUCUAGAAUCCCCAAGCAGUGGUGGCACAGCGAAUCAACCAUGGGAUCGGUGGAGGAGAUCCAGCAGCCGCUGCUGCUCGGAUUUGACACGCAUUCUCGGCUUGCUGAUUUGUCAUCCCCUGCUGUUGAAGAGUUUCUAGGGCACCGGCCAGUGGCACUCUGGUGGUGGCCUAGGCUGGUGGUUUGGGAGUCAAGACUCCUAUGGAUUUUAUCUGGUUCAUCUAUUAUUGUUUCCGUAUUCAACUAUAUGCUAAGCUUUGUCACCCUCAUGUUUUGUGGGCAUUUGAGUGCCUUGGAGCUUGCCGGAGCCUCUAUCGCUAGUGUGGGAAUUCAGGGUCUUGCUUAUGGGAUUAUGGUUUGUAGCUAAAUAAUAUACCUACUUAAUAAAAAAUGGGAACCGUAUUAACAUUCCAAAAUAGUCAUAAUGAAUUCCUCCUUUGUUUUUUUUUUACCUUAAGGGGUGCAUGAUGAUUAUUUUGAAGUGUCAAUAACUCUCUCAAUAAUUCAUGUUGUGCAAUUUCAUAUCUAUUUUUCUUUUUGGUGGUUGAGUUAAUACAUUCUGGUUCUUGUUUCUUAAUUCUCGGUUCGGAAUCAAAGUUGGGAAUGGCAAGUGCUGUGCAAACUGUGUGUGGGCAAGCGUAUGGGGCCAAACAAUUGCCAGCAAUGGGAAUCAUAUGCCAAAGAGCAAUCAUCUUGCACUUGGGAGCAGCAAUCCUCCUCUCAUUUGUGUAUUGGUGGUCAGGUCCUAUCCUCGUAGCGAUCGGCCAAUCAGAAGAAAUAGCCGAGCAAGGCCAAAUCUUUGCAAGAGGAAUUAUUCCUCAGCUUUUUGCAUUUGCCAUAAACUGCCCCCAGCAGAGGUUCCUUCAAGCUCAAAACAUAGUCAACCCUUUGGCUUACAUGUCUGUUGGAGUUUUCAUCCUUCACAUUCUUCUCAAUUGGGUGGUGGUUUUUGUUGUGGAUUAUGGCCUAAUUGGGGCUGCUCUUACACUGAGCUUCUCUUGGUGGCUUCUUGUCAUUAUAUAUGGGCUUUACAUUCUUUUGAGUCCCAAGUGCAAGGAGACUUGGACUGGCUUCUCUUGGAAAGCCUUCAAAGGGAUGUGGCCUUAUUUCAAGUUGACUGUUGCCUCUGCUACCAUGCUCUGGUAGGUGAAACAAUAAUGCAAAAUUACAAAUGCGACCACAUUGGGUUUUUUAGACCACAUUAGUUAACGAUCUUAAUUAUGUAGAAGCUGAUGUAUCAGUUGCUCAGCAAAUAAGGCGGUUUGCUAAUGUGGUCUAAAAAAUGUGGUGUCUAUAUAAUUACUCGUGUGUAAAUUUUAACAAAAACUAUUUAGACACACAAAGUUGACUACGUUGUUAACACACUCUCUAAUGUAGUCCUAUAUAUAACAGUUCGGCCUAUCUCUAUUGGAGAAUGUGUAUAAAAUAGCAUUACUAAAUGUUUAAAACCUUAGUCCCCUAUCUUUUCUGAAACCUUCACAUGCUAAUAUCUUUUUCCUUUUGUGAAUGAAUGUAGUUUGGAGAUAUGGUACAACCAAGGGCUAACACUAAUAUCAGGGCUCCUCCCCAACCCUACAAUCUCACUAGACUCCAUUUCUAUUUGGUUAGUAUGGAUUUUCUUUUUUUUUUUUUUUUUUUUUUUUUGGUUAACUGAGAACUUCAUUACCAGUUUAAUUAUUUCAUGAGUUAUUUAACCAUGAUUGCUAUUAUUAUAUCUAACUUUUACAUGUUCUUAUAUGAUGAACAAUUCCAGCAUGAACUACUGGAACUUCAGUUUGCAAUUUAUGUUAGGCCUAAGCGCAGCGGCCAGGUUUGUGACAAAAAAAAAAGCAGCUCAUAAGAAUUCAAAAUUUUCCUUUACAGGUCCAAUAAUUGGAAGUGAUCUAAUCAUAAUAAGAUGACUUGGCUUAUGCAGUGUCCGAGUCAGUAACGAGUUAGGGGCUGGUCAUCCAAGGGUGGCGAAAUUUUCAGUGUUUGUAGUGAACGGAACAAGCAUCCUGAUUAGUAUAAUCUUCAGUGCGAUUAUAUUAAUAUUCCGAGUUGGACUUAGCAAGCUAUUUACAAGUGAUGCUGAUGUUGUUGAGGCGGUGUUGGAUUUAACUCCAUUACUAGUUGUUUCCGUUUUCUUGAAUGGCAUUCAACCAAUACUCUCAGGUAUUGAUAUAUGAUAGAAGAGCAGUGCAGAUGAACAAACCAGGUCCUCUCAUACAAAUGUUUACAAUCAUUUCUAAUUUCAUAUGUGUGGAAUUUAGGUGUGGCAAUUGGAAGCGGAUGGCAAGAUGUCGUGGCUUAUGUCAACCUCGUUUGUUACUAUAUAAUUGGUUUUCCAGUUGGAUGUCUUCUUGGCUUCAAAGCUAGUAUGGGAGUCGCGGUAAGUUCACUUGCUCCCCCACUCAUUCCGUACAGUUGUUACUUUGUGAGGAAUGCUGAUGGAACCUGAUGCAUUUUGGCCUUUUUUUCAGGGGAUUUGGUGGGGGAUGCUUAUCGGAGUUUUUUUACAAACAGUAGUUCUAAUUGUUCUAACUGCCAGAACAAAUUGGGAUGCCGAGGUGAUUUAACUUUGAUGAAAGUAACUAUACAUAGCAGGCAUGAAUCGCAUUUGGUCAGGUCGUUAUCAAUGAAUUUUAUCAUGGUUUUUUGUAGGUUCUAAAAGCCGCUGAUCGCUUGGACAAGUCUGCAAAUGAAGAAAACACAGACAUGGUGGUCUCCGAGCGCGUAAGCCCAAGGCCAUGAAAGUGUGUCAAACUCAUUUAAUUAAGCAGGUUUUCAAGUGGUGAAUUGGAAUGCAACUCUAAAGGAAAAAAAAGGUGUCAUCAAAUAGCAACCAUCUCUAUUACAGUCUAACCUUUCGACAUUGUGAAGGCAAAAGCUGGAGAUGGGCAGUGGGAUGUUGCUUCAUUUGAUGUUCAACGACAACUUUUGAAUUUCUUAGUUUUUCUUGGUUAUAUACGUAAUAAUAAAUCCAUAAUUUUUAAUUUUUUUUCCCUAGUUUGAUUUUAGUUUAAAACUACACAGUUUUAUCCAGACUCGCCUGAACGAUCAAGGUGGGAAUUGUCAAUUAAUUGUAUUAAUAAUCUGUGCAAUAUUAAAUCAAAUAUUUUGCUUCUGUAGCUUGACAUAAUUGCUUAUGUAGUUUGCCCUUGUAAUUAUGCCGCAGUUGUAGUAGUUCUAACUGAAUCAGUGUCCACUUCUCCUACAAAUCAUUAUUUGCAAAUUGCUUUGUAGUUUUAUUUUAUUUUUUAUUUUGCGGGGGGGGGGGGGGUUUAUUAUUUUUCAGUUCUUCUUUUGUUCUAGUAAUAUAUAUAUAUGCGAAUACGCAGGUAUCGUCCACCAUAGCUUAUAGUACAAAGAAUAUUUUAAUCAACAACUGGUUAUUUGUAUAAAUUGAGGGUAUUUCUGACUAUUUAAGUGAGAUUUUGGAUAUAAUUGAAUAUUUUUUUAAUAUAAAAAAAAUGAUAUUUUAGAAAUUAAAAGCUAAUUUUUUGCUAUUAUUGAUAAAUUUCCAAAAAAAACAGUGUGAGUGUUUGGUAAACUUUUAUUACAAGUACUUUGACUACGUAAAAUGACUGAAAAGGACAACGAUGUUAGGUAUGCUGUUGAUUUUAUAAUUUGACAAAAUAAUUGUAGAGAUAACUCAAAUUAUAAAUAAUUAUUAGAGAAAUUUGCACAAACAUCACCCAAGUAUGCAUUAGGGUGUUUACAUUUACCAGUUAAUUUCUUUUUUCAAUUCGCAGCUAGUCUCUGGUGCUAAUUUAUACUUUCUUACGAGUUUUUUUUCCUUUAAUAUUAAAAAAAAAAAAAAAGGAGAAACUGUUUGCUCAUCCCUGAUUCCUUCUGCAACAAUGAUGGCCUCUCGUCCCCCACACUCACACAACACCACCAUUAAAUUUCAUAAAAUCCAGACCAAUCCCAUGCCCAGGAAAAAGUGUUGACCAUUCUAUCCCAACACCGAUCUCUGCCUUGCCCCCAUCACCUUACAUCCAUCAUUCCAAUUUAAAUUAAACAAAUGACUGAAAUCAAUCCAAUCUGUUACAAAGAGUAUUGGAGAUUUGAAGGCUAAUAAAUGCAUAGUCUGAGUCGAGAAAAUCAUAUUCGACCUAUGCAGCCAUUUGGUAUAAUACAGGAGAUUUCUGCUGCCUUGUCUACGAGCUGGAAGGGAGAGAGCUAGCUGGAUACAAGAGUGCGAGUUGUGAAUGGUGCAAAUUAGGGCUGAUUCGUUUCGCGAGGACAAAGAACAAAGACAAUAGGAAGAAAAAGGAGGGUAGAGUUGUCGUUUAGAAAGUUUCAUUAAUGCGCACUAUUCACUCCGUCACCUCCCAAAAAAAGCGCUCGUUUUAAAAGCGUGAUCUCACCUGUUUUCUAAGGUUUUUGAUCCAUGAUUUUUAAAACAUAAUUAAUUCUCUUAAGGGAAUUUUUAUAAAAAUGGUUUGUGCUAAGUGUAUUUUAACAAAAAAUCAUGCUAUAAUUUUUUUUAAUGAAAAGAUUUAAAUUUUAAUGAAAAACUCUUAAAUUUUAAUAAAAAGAACAAAAGAAAUUAAAUUUUUAUGAAAAAAACAUAAUUAUUGAUAUGAAUUGAUGAAUAGAAUUGUUGAUUAUUGAUGAAUUGAAUUCUUGAUUCUUGAUUAUUGAAUUAUUUAUAUAAUUAGUUAUAUUGAUUAAUUGAAUUUUUGUUUAUUGGAUAACUUAUAUAAUUAUUGGUAUUGAUUAAUUAAAUUGUUGGUUUAAUUUGUUAUUAGUCAUAUAGUAUACUCUACUCUAGGAUUAAGAGUCUAAAACUUUUUCUUCUCAUUAUACAGUUAUUUAAUGAAACGAUACUAUGAGAAACAAUUCUUAAAUCUUCCUUCAAAUAUUCUGGUAGUGAUCCUUUGAAUAUUCAAGGUAGUCCUUCUUCGAAUAUUCGGGGUACGUAGUUCACAACAAAAUGAGAUUGAAUGAAAUAUUGACUAGUCUUUCUGCAGACCCUAGGCAUAGAUGUUGAAUGCUUAAUUAACCACCUAAUUAUCGCGAAUCAAUUCAUAGACACUAUCUUCAAAAUGAUCAUUGUCAACCUAAAUUCUACAUCAUGCCAAAAAAAGUUAGUGACAAUCGAUGUUUUAUGUUCCUCUGUCAUUGAAAUGCAGAUAUUGAUGAAUGCAAAGAUCCAAAUAGAUGCGGUUUCGGCAACAUCUGUAACAAUAUACGAUUGUGUCGUUUGAACCCCUUCACCUGCAUGACCAUCACGGGUUAAUGUGGCCGUCACUGUGUUGCUCUCUUCAAAUCCAAAAAAAAAAAGAAAAGAUAACCCGUGAUUAUGGCAGCUGGUAUUAGCAUUUCUAGUGUUGCUCCUCCAUUACACAAAACUUUUUUUGUUUCAAACCAUCCCUGCAUUACUUAGUGUUGGAAUUCAUUAGGUUUAUUUAGGAAAUUAAUUAGAGAUUUGAUUUGAUUUUGUAAUAGGGUAUUUUUGGCAUUUAAGCAUUAGGGUUUCUUAGGUUUAUUGCUCUAUAAAUAGAGCUUGUAAUUUAGUUUGAGAACAAGUAAUUCACAAUGUAGCCUCUUAGGGUUUUGUAGCCGUUUCGGCAUUCUCGUUCGUUUAAUAAUAUUCUUAUUAUUUUGUUAGUCUUGUUUGUUGCGCACUCUGAUAUUCAACUUGGUAUCAGAGCAGGUUUGAUCCUUCGGGAUUUAAUCUGCUUCUGUUUGCUCGUAUCAGUUUGAUAUCAUUUUGCUGUCCUGUCUAGUUUAGGUUCGUGAAAAUUGUUUUUUUUCUGGUUUGGUUUUGGGAUCUUGUUUCUGCCUUGAUUGGUUUAGACUGUUUAUUUGUGGGUAGUUUGAUAUAAAAAAAAAAAAAAAGUAAAACUAGAGUCUCGCCGCCGCAUGCUGCAUGGAGACCCAUCCGUCUCACCGCCUGUGUGGAAUCUGCAUCAGAACCAUAACAUGCACCACCAUCUCCGCUGCUACAUCCAUUGGUCCACGAUCAACCAGCCCUUCCCGCACCAGACCUGCCGCACACCACCGUUGAUGCUCGACCUGAGAACACCAAACUCGGAUCGAGUUCGUCCUCGCCUUGUACUCCGCUGCUCUGAUUGCAUCUCACCAGCCACCUCACCACAUCGUUUCCUGCACUGUAUCCGCACCCCCUGCACCUCGCGCGUUUUGCACUAGAGUUCCUGCGCAUGUUUGCACAGAAAGGGAAAGGAGGAAGAUGGGGAAAAGAAGAAGAAAAGAAAAAAAAGGAAGCCCCACACGGGCAAGGAAAAAAAAAAGCUUUUAGUUAGAAGUUUUGGGGCCCACGUAUUGUUGUUUUUGGGCUUGUAUCUCUAGCUUGUUGUUGCCUUCUACAAUGAUCAUUCGAGUGCUUGGAUUGGUAACCACUCGAAUGACGUUGUGUACAUGGUGAAUUGGAAUUUUUGCUUGUUUGUUUAGGUUUGUUCGGAAGUUGGAAACCUUGCACUGGCAUUGGCAUGGAAAUCUUGCAUUGGCACUGGCAUGGAAUCUUGCACUGGCACUGACAUGGAAAUCUUGCACUGGCACUGGCAUUGGAAUUUGGAAUCUUGCACUUGCACCGAUAGAAUUUCGUAUUGAAAUUGGCAUCGGAAGUUAGCAUAACAAAGCUUGCAUCCACAUCAUCUGUUGGCAAACUCAUGUCGUAUACCGCCAUGAGUUUGACGGGGGGUGUUGGAAUUCAUUAGGUUUAUUUAGGAAAUUAAUUAGAGAUUUGAUUUGAUUUUGUAAUAGGGUAUUUUUGGCAUUUAAGCAUUAGGGUUUCUUAGGUUUAUUGCUCUAUAAAUAGAGCUUGUAAUUUAGUUUGAGAACAAGUAAUUCACAAUGUAGCCUCUUAGGGUUUUGUAGCCGUUUCGGCAUUCUCGUUCGUUUAAUAAUAUUCUUAUUAUUUUGUUAGUCUUGUUUGUUGCGCACUCUGAUAUUCAACUCUUAGAUUAUAUAUAAGAAGGAACAAUAAUAUCUGACCAACUGAAUUUUUUUCUUCCAAUUGAGCUAUUCAGUUACCAGCUGCAUUGUUGGCCUACUGUUUAUACACACUGGCGCAUGAUGGUCUCACAAAGUCAAGAUGAAAAGGAAAGACACCAACCGCAAGCAGAAGUUUUCUAAACGAAAUGGCGUUUUCUUGUUGGGGCAGCAAUUAUCUUCCGCUGAAGCUAACGUUGAUAAAAAUAAAUUGUUCAGUAAGGAGGAGCUAGAAAACACCAGGGACCAUUUCAGCGUAGAGAGAAUUCUUGGUCAGGGAGGCCAGGGUACCGUAUACAAAGGAAUGUUAGCAAAUGGGAGAACUGUUGCUGUAAAUAAGUCGAAAAGUGUAGUUAUUGGAGACGAAGUGAGACAAUUCAUCAAUGAAAUUGUAUUCUGUCACAAGUUAUUGACAGGAAUGGGGUUAAAUUACUGGGUUGCUGUUUGGAGACUGAAGUACCCCUUUUGGUUUACGAGUUUAUAAACAAUGGAACUCUCUCUCAUUAUAUUCAGCACC
rnacentral:lncRNA from 1 species